rnacentral:lncRNA from 1 species
CUUCCUUGAUCUAUAACAACAAAUUUAAUUUAUUUAUUCAUCAUGUUACUCAAAUUAGCCCAAUUUCACAUUUUUGGUAAAAUUUUAUUUUUACCCCUAAACUUUGUCAUAAUUACACUUUUGCCUCUGGGAUCGUAAAAUGAAAUUCAUUCAAUUUAUUUGCUACCCAUGCCUAAUCGAAUAUUUAUCAUACUUACAUCAGCCAACAUUUUUCACAUAAUCACACUUUUACACACAAUUUAUCACAUUUCUCAAUUUAGUCCCUAAUCGACAUUUCUAUCAAAAAUCACUUUACAAAUGUUGUUUAUCUAACAACAAGGAUGUAUUUUCUAUCAUCAAUUAUCAAAAUGCACAAUUUAUCAACAAUGGCAAAAUUCAAAAACUUUAACAAUUUUUAAAAUGAAGGUACGGGAUAGCUAAAUCGAGUUACCACAACUCUGAAAACAUAGAAAUCAUUAAAAACGGGACGAAAAUCACUCACCUAUCAAGAUCCAAAUCUUGGCCAAAUGAAACCCAUCCCAUGGCUGCCAUUUUCUUUUCUAUUACGGUUGAAGAAGAAAAAUAAAGAUGAUAGCUUUUGCUAUUUUGUCUUAUUAUACUUAUUAACUUAUUUACCAAUUUAACCUUUUAAUAACUUCACCAAAUCCACCUAUUACAUGUCCAUCUUUGUCUCUUCACUUUUCUAUUGGUAUAAUUACCACGUAAGUGCCCAGACUUUUCAAUUCUAUAGCUAUUUAGUGCAUUUAUCAAUUAGAUCUCAAGUUUUGCACCUUACGCGAUUUAGUUUUUUUUUAUUAAAUUGAGCACUCAAACGAGGAAAUUUCUUUAUGAAAAUUUCACAAAACUUUAGUAUCAUACUGUAGACAUCAAAAUGAUAAUAAAAUAAAUUUUUUGAUAUCGUAUUUUUGGUCUCGCAACCACUAUUCAGACUAGGCCCAAAAUCAGGAUGUUACAUGGAAUAUGAUCAAAAGGUUUAAAUGAUUUUUGUUAGCAUGAUGAAGUUGUGAAUGUGUGUUUAUUAGCAUCUUAAAUUAUUGAUUCAAGUUGUUAUAAUAUGGUCUAUUACUUAAUGGUUGUAUAUUAUGAAAUUGAUUUAGUUAGCAUCACUAAGAUUAUAAAAGCUCAAUUUGCGGAUGUUUAUUCUGUGUGCAUGUAGCAAGUAUACUGUGAUUGAUUUAGACGUUAUUCAGAAUCUGAGAAUCAAGUUUCAACUUAUCUCCUAAGUUUUGUAAUUUUCCUUUUUAAACUUUUAGUCUUUGGCAUGUACCCAGGUCACUAGGUGGAUUUUCAUGUCUCUAAAUUGGUCCUUAGUUGUCUUGAGAUGAUUUGAUAUAUUUGGUACGUUUUGAUAAUGUUUCGGGACUUUUGAUCAUCUCUAUGUUGGAUUUUUAAUGUGAUUUUUCAUGUUAUAUUAAUUGUAACAGCUCGUUUUCAGUGAAAUUGGAAUAGUGGUUUCGGGACCACAAAUUUUUAGUCGAAAGAAAAAUUAUUUUAAAAUUUUUGCAUGGUCUGCAUUAUGAUAGGAAUAACGUAUGAAAAUUUUAUUAGGAAAAAUUUUACCGAUUUCUUGUUUAAUUGAUAAAAUGAACAAAUUGCAUAAAAUACAAAAAUUGAGUUCUAGUAGCUAUAGCUGGAAAAUAGCUAUGGAAUUUAAAAUUUGAGGUCCUUAUAUGGCAAUUAGACCAUUAAAUGGAGUUAGUAGAUAUUUAUGAUGAUUCAUCCAUGGAAAUUUAAGAAAAGAAAAGGACUAAAUUGGAAAGAUGAAAUAAUAAAAGAUGAUAUCUUAAUUAAAUAGAAAAUAUCAUCAUUUUAUAUCAUCUUCCCUAAAUAUUUCUAUGAAAACCUUAGCUAAGAAAGAGAAAUUCAAGCAAGCUUAAUUGGAUCCGAAAAGACCAAAUAAGGAAUUAGAUUGAGGAAAAGAAAAAAGUGUUAGAUUAGUAGAUUUUCAUACGCGAGCAAGUGUUGAGGUAAGUUCGUGUAACUAAAUUGUGUAUACUUUCAUAUUUGAAUUGAAUAUUAUAUGUAAAUUAUGAAUUUGUUAUGUAUAUGAAAAUAUUUAUAUCUGACAUGCCCAAAAAAUGUUAAGUUCCGUUUGAAUAAAUGAAAUUUGAUGGAUACAAGUUUCCUGAUUGGUUGUGAUCUAGCAUAUGUUGCAGGCACACCAUAGCCCAAAAGAGCAUCUCGAUAUUUGGCCCUCACGAGCUUCUCGUUAUAUGGUUCAGUAAGCUUCCCGUUAAUAGCUCUUCGAAGCAUCCCGAUUGGUUGUGAUACUGCAUGUGUUGUAGACACACCAUAGCUCUUAUGAGCGUCCAGAUAUAUGACUCUUUGUGAGCUUCCUGAUUAAAGGCUCUUUGUGAGCUUCCUGUUAAUGGCUCUCCGGUGCUUCCUAAUAUUAGCUUGCUUGAAUUUCCUGAUAUAUGACUAUCUGGAGCUUCCCGAUUAAUGGCUUUUCGGAGUUACCUGUUAUAGGCUUACAUGAGCUUCCUGAUUAUGGCUCUUAUGAGCUUCCCGUUAUACAGCCCGGAUAAGCUUCCCGUUAUAUGGCUCGAGAGAGUGCUUCCUGUUUAAGUAUUCUCAUAAACACUCUUUAAUAUGAAUUGAUGGAUUAUAGAUUCAUACACUUUAUGUAUACUACCCGAUGUCCAUCGAUAUUUCAUAAGGUUCAACAGGCAAAGUUUUGAUACAAGUUAAAAUAAGGUUUGAAUAAAUCAAUAAUUGUAUCUACCUGAAAAUACAUGGAAAUGUUUAUACAAUGAGCUUAUCUUUAUUACUUGAAAAGUACUUGGAAUUCAUGACUAACUUGCUUGAUUGAGUGUAUGUGUUUAGGCAAUUGGCCAAUUUGCUUUGGAUGCAUGUUAUUUGUAUGCGUGCUUUAAAUGAACAUGAUUGGUAAGUUAAAUCCAUGUUAUACGAACUUACUAAGCAUUAAAUGCUUACUUGGUUUUCUUUUCUUUGUUUUAUAGUACUCGGAAGCUUGGGAAGGUUAGAACUUGGUCAGAGACACAUCACACUAUCUCUCGGACUUCUCGAUAUAUGAAACAAGCUAACUUUUGGUAUAAUGGCAUGUAUAGGCUAAAAUAGGUCAAAUGAUGAAAUACUUUGGUUGUAGCUAGCCAUUGGAAUGGCUAGUGUUAAACAUAUUAUGAUGUAAUUAUAUAAGGCCUUAUUAAGUUUGAUGUGUGUUGAAAUGGUUAUAUGGUGAAAAGUAUAUAAACCUAUUGAUGAAUGGUUUAAAAUUAGCAUAAUUGAUCAAGUAUACCUAUAAGAAUAAAUGGGUUUUAGGUAAGUUUGAAUAUAUAUGAACAUAUGUGAUGAUAUGUCAUGUAUAAUACUUGUAUUUGACUCGGUUUAAAUGUCUUGAAUUGGUUGGUGAAUGCACAUAAAUGUUGUUGUAAAUGGAAGGCAAAAUUGGUGAGAAAUAUGGCCUCGAAAAUGGCCUAUUUUCGUCCACAUGGGCAGAGACUCAUGCAUGUGUCUCAGCUGUGUGUAACACACGGUCAUGCGCACGAGCGUGUGGUUUGGUCGUGUGUCCCCUACACCUAAUUUUUGAAAAUUAAACUAUCCACAUGGCCUAGCACAUGCGCGUAUGUAUAGCCGUGUAACCCAAGUCAGAGAGUUACACUGGUAUAGAGACGGGACGAAAUACGGCCGUAUGCCUCACAUCGAAUGCCCACACGGCCUGAGACAUGGGGGUGUCACUUGGUCGUGUGAGCCACACGGCCUAACCACACAGGCGUGUGUCCCUUGCACUAAGGAAAAAUUUUGAAAUUUUGCGAAAAAUUUUCUGAGUUUUUGAAUUAGUCUCAACUUGUUUCUAAUGCAUAAAUUGGGCCUCGAGGGUCCAUUUAAGGGACAAUACGUUUGAAUAUGAUUGGUUUCAUAUAUGAAUAGUAAAUGACCUAAAUUAAAUGUAUCUAUUAUGUAAACUUCGGUAAUGCUCGCCGGAAAUAGGUUAGGGGUGUUACAUUAUAUUGUUACAUUUCACAUUUUGCUUACCUAGUAAUUUCUUGAUCUAAUGUGUUAAUGGCCUUGAAAUUCCAUGUUUUGGGCUUAUAUUGCUAUGACAAAUAUGUUUGCAUGAGUUGGUUGCAUGUUGGCAUUGUUUAGAGACAUUUAGGAACAAGUUUACAAGACUUGAAAUGUUUAUUUUUUUGCAAUUUUGGGCAUGAUGUCUUGAUACUUGAAGAACAUUAUCUUAUGAUUCAUGCAUUUUUAGGUGCAAGUCUUUAGACAUGAAACUUUGAAGCUAAAUAGGGAAGACAUGGCUUCACAAUCUCGAGACAUAGCCCUACAUUUUGCUUAUUUGACUCAAGAUUCGUAACCUAGCUCCAUAUUUGACUAUCUUUGGCACCAGUUUGUUGUAUGUGGACUCGUUUAAUUUCAAUUGAGUUCAUUUAAUACUUGUAACAACUUUUAAUUUAAACACCUCAUUUAUUUUGAUUAUUUGAAGCAAAAUUUACAUGCUUGUGUUUGGCUUUGAGUUAGUUCAAUAACAUAUGUUGCGUCUUGGAUCAGAUUGACUUUCAGAUUGGGUGUAGGUAUUACAAAAUCAGCCCCAACUAUAACUCCUUAUUUGGCAUGGCCUUUCUUACGGAAACUAUUUCUCUUAUGCACUUUUCGGCUUUGAAGUUUGACUCCAAACCUAAACGAACAAACUCAUCCUUUAUGUCAUUGCUAUGGUCAUUCUACUCUUCAUCAGAAGUGCCAUUAUCUAGAGCCAUAAGAAAAAAACUAUUGAAAAAAUGGUUUAAAAAACAUGUUUGUUUGCACAGUGGAAAUUUAUUUUUUUAAAACUCGGGUCAUUGUGUUAUUUAUAGUAAUAAAAUUUACUAGAUUAGUACUUGUGUUUUCAGCUUAGCAAUUUUGGUUGUUUCUCAACUUUUUACCAACAUAAUCUUCUGCACUAUUCUCAAACCCUCAAUGUGCUUAGAGAGUGAGUUCUAAUUGAACCAAUAACACAAUAAAAAACCUUUAAUUUUUUAGUGAGGGAAAAUCAAAUCUCUCUAUGGGUAACAAACUUAACUAAAGUUUUCAUGAAAACAGAAAACACAAAGUUCCAUCAUAUGUUAAAUGGGCUUAUUGGACUCAUUCAUGUAUUGGGUUCAAUUAUAUCUAUUAUCUUAUCUUUAAAUUAACUCAUAUAAUUUAUCCAAUCCAAUAACCAAUUUUCUAUUCCCAAAAUAUUAUUUAUUUAAUAAUUUAAAUAAAUUUAAUUAAUUUACUCAAUUAAGUUAUUUUCUCAACACAAUUUUAAUUCUGUUAGUUAUGACGACUUUAUCAUACUAAAAUCUAUGAGUACAUAAAUUUAAUUGUCUCCUUCCAUAAAAUUACAAUGACUAAUAAUUUAAUUUUUACUUUGAAUUUCAAUUAUUUAAUUACAAUCAAUUAAAUAAUAAUUCAAAGAAAUUAAAUUAAUCAUUAAGUCAUCUCUUGUCCUUAGUGAGAAAAUGCAACCACUACGAAGAAUGACACAUGCAAUCUAUUUCUCUGUUCGUCACUUCCAUUAAUUCAACGUAUUGGUUCAAAUGCAAUCCAUAAAGGAUUGUUGAACUAGCGAAGGGACUGAUUUAACAUAUAUAAUUAGGGCUAAAUUAAUUUAUAAUUAAUUUUCAAUUCUUCAUUUAUUAAUUAUAUUGUUAUUUAGUCAUGGAGUCGAUCUACUAAAAGCACCAUGAUUGAACUCUCUCUUUUAUAUACCAUUACAAAAAUAAUUUAUAAUUAUACUUGUCCAAUAACCUUUUCAUUAGUGUGUUACCCUCAUAAGAUAUCUCUUAUUCUUUGGGUUAAAUUCGUUCUCUCAGUAUGAUACUAUUUUAUUUCAUGGUAAUCAUUGUAUCUUCCUUAUGAAAAAGUAUAUUACUAACAUAUAGUAAUAAAAUCAUUCGUCCCAAACAAUGACCUGUGACCACGUUUCUUUUUCAUCAAUUAUGCAAUGUCAAUGAGAGGAUAUAAUUUACCCUUUAUUGGGCUAUGAAUUCUAUUAUUGUAAGUAAAGUUGUGCCAUGUAUAAGUUGUAUGCCCAACAUAUUAGCUUUUUACUCUAUUACCAAUAGAUCUCGGGCUUUUAAUAUAUUAAAACAUAUGUAAAUGAUUGAGGUAAGUCACACCAUGAAAUUCAUAAACGAAAAAAAUCCAUAAAAGAAUCUAGGAUAAAUUCAGCUUGAGUCAUGUUCGAUAUAUAGUCAGUCCAAACAAUUACACUUAUAACUCUAUCUUUUUGGGAGCCAUCCACUUCGAUACCGAAGAAAAUGUAUCUCACAAAUUGGAUUUGAUAGACAACAUAAUGGUCCAUUGAAUCAAUUUGCUCCAUUUUAAUUCUUCAGACUACGAAUCAUUUAAAUUACCUACUAAUAUAAGUUGUCUUCCCAAAUCAUGAUCCGACCACAUUAUGCAACUUAAUAUUAGUUAAUCAUUAGGUAAUCAAUGAAUCGAUAUUUGCUUAUAAAUUUUAUUUUUCAUGUAAAAAACAUUAAGCACAAAUAUAAAAGAUAAUAAUAUAAACAGUAGAAAUUUCUAAGCAUAAAUCUUAAAAAGUGAAAAUAAAUCUUUUGAAUUCUUUUUAGAGUAAAACAUACAAAAAAAAAAAAAAAAACUAGUUACACAUUAAUUCUCUAGCAAUACUAUCACUUGCUUGAAAUCACUUCAAAAUUUUCAAGUGAAAUGGGAGUCUUUACAGGAAAAGGAAAACAUCUACUAAUUAAAGUGAGUUUGGACUAAUUAAAAUUUAGUAAUCAUUUUAAUUAAUGGGUCGUGUAAUUUAAUUAUUAAUUUAUUUGAUUUUUUUAUAAAAUUAUUCGAUUUGUAUUCUAUCGGGGUCAAUAAAAAUAUUUUAAUUAAGAUAGAUUCGAUUUAAAUAAUUAUUUGCGUAAUAAAAUUAAAGCAUAAAAUUUGGUAGUUUUUAUUGGAAUUCAAUUAAUUGUCUACAUAUACUAUGUAUUAAGUACAUAAGUAUCACAAAUCAAUUAAGCAUCAACUUAGUUAAGUAAUAAUCAACAUAUCUUUACUUUAUAUAGUAAAUUUUAUUAUUUUAAUAGUGUAUUUUUGUCAUUUUAUCUAUACUAUAUAUUAAAUACUUAAUGCUACAAAUUAACCGAGCACCAACUCAAUUGGAUAAUUACGAAUAUACCUUACUUUUACAAGUAAUUUGUUUUUAAUUAUGGGUUAUUUUUGUCAUUUUAUAUCUUUUAUAUAUAAAAAAUAUAUACUCAAUAUAAUAGAAUUUGAACUCAAACCUCUAUAGUUUUUAACAUUUGUACUUUAUCAAUCAAUCAAAACCUCAUAUAUUGUUUAUAUUAAUUUUUUUUAUAAAUAUAUCUUUUACGUAAUUCUACUACUUUCCACCCGUGUGUCAUAAUCUAACACUUGAUUUGGUCUUUAUUCUUUUAUUCAUGGUUUGGUGUUUUCAUUACCUUAAAUCUAUUUAUUUUCUCCUUCCCCUGUUUUAAUCAUUGUUUUCUAAAUCGGACUGCCCGAUGCAUCGAUCCAGAAUAAAUAAUAGAAUCAAUUGACUCGUGAACUUAUUGAACUGGGCUAAAUGAACCAAUUUUUUUUUACUAUUUUUAAUUUAUACAAUCAACCCUAUUUAUGAUAGUCUCAUUUGUUUGCCCAGGUUUUACCUAUCAUAAAGAGGUAGUUGUUAUAAACCUAUAACAACAUGUUGUUAUAGAAAGAUAAUUGUUGUAAACUUACUAUAUAAUUCGUAUCGUGAAUUUUCAUCAAAUAAAGAAUGUGCGAAUUAUGUUCAAAAGAAGAAAGAAAGUUAGAAUUAAAUUAACAAAGUUAAAAGACGUAUAAUAGGUUUAUUUUACAUGAUUAAUUAUAAAGUCACAAAUAUAAAAAGUUUAAUUAAUCAAUAUGAAUUAUCAAAAUGAGUUACUAAGUUCAAGUAAUCGAUUUAUAAACUUAUGGUUUUCCAAAUUCAUAAUAGAAUAUUUAAUUAGAGGACUUAAUAGUUUGCUGAAUUGAUAUCUUUAAUUCCACCCAUUUAAAAUUAUUUACAUUUAAUAAAAUAUGAUUAAUAGGUUUAAGCAUUUUAUUGAAAUAAUAUUUUAAUUAAGAUAAUUUUCAUUUAAUAAAUUAUAAUUAAUAGCCUUGCUUAGAUGAAAUAACCGUAAUUUUAGUUAAAAAUUUAGACAAUAUAAUGUUAUAAAGAAUUAAUUUAAUAAAAAAUAUACUUCAUAAUUAUAAAUGUUCCUCUUGUAAUAGGGUUAAAAUAAAAUAUAAAAAAUCAAUUCUACUGGAAGCUUGAUUAUUAUAACGAAAUAUUGUUAUAAAGGAAGUUAAAUUUAUUUUAAUUUUUAGGGUAAAUUACACCAACAGUUACUCAACUUCGGGGUAACUGACAAAACAGUCACUUUGGUUUCAAUUUAGUCACUCAACUUUCAAAAAAUAAAAAAAACAGUCACUAAUGUUACCGAAAAGUGACAAAUCAAUCACCAACUAAUAGUUUCUGUUACAGACCUAAUAGGAUAGGUGAUGUAGCCAGUUAACUAGCUGACGUGGUUAGUUAACUGGCCACGUUGGAUGUCCAUAGUGGAAACCGACCCAAUUUAAGAAGAAAUUGAAAAAAAAAACCCUAAUAACAUAAGAGAAGAAAAAGAAGAAGAAGAAAAAGAAAAAGAGAUUGUAAAAUCCCUCUCAAUGUCUCCAACGGCCUCAAUACAAUCGACCCCACAAACAAACCAGCAGAACCGAUAACAAGUACUCCGACCACCACCACUUGCACCACCAUUAAACUAGGUCAGGGUUUUUCUCCCCAAUAUUCUUCUUCUUCUUAUCUUAGUUGUUACUAUUGUGGAUAAAUUUCAACCUCCCCCAACACUUGCAUAGCCAAAUAUAUACUUCAUUAAUUUUUUUCAAGGCUAAACUUUGUCCCAUAGAGGAAUUUCUUCCUAAAAUACUAAAUCAAUAAAUCACCAAAAAAACAACUUUCUCUGCCUAUUUUUGGUCAAUAACAAAAAAACAAAUAUUGAAGGACAAUAAGACGAAUAAAGCAUGAGAAAGAGAGAAUGAUAUGGGUUUUUAGUAUUUUUCCAGUUUCUAAAUCCUAAUUUUGGUUUCAAUUUCUUUUUAUUUUUUCUCCUUUCAAUUCAAAGUGAUUAGAUAGAGGAAGCAAAUAAGGUGAAAAAGAAAAACACUCAACACGGAGAAGAAGGGAAAAAAAAAGAGCUUUCCCACAGUUUUUCUUUUUCAGAUGAGUUUUUUCUUUUUUCGUCGUUUCCAUGUGGGAUGCCAACAUGGCAAGUUAACGGGCCACCAGAAAGCAUUAACGGGUCAUCUCAGCUUUUGGUUACAUCUGUAAUGGUAGCGACUAUUUUGUUAUUUUUUAAAAGUUGAGUGACUGAAUUGAAAUCAAAGUGACUAUUUUAUCAGCUAUUCAAAAGUUGAGUGACUAUUAGUACAAUUUACCCUAAUAAGAAAACCGGCACGUUUUACAUCAACAUUGAACGACAAAACAUGUAUGGUGUCGUUCACUUCACAACAGGCUCUCUAAACAUGCCGAUCGACAAAUCCGACCCGAACCCGAACCAAUCUAAAGCGAGCAAAUUUCGAUGGGGGGAGCUAGAGGAAGACGACAAUCUUGACUUUUUGUUACCGCCCAAGGAAGUGAUCGGAACUGAUGAAAAUGGGAUCAAGAAAGUGAUCGAAUACAAGUUCAACGACGAAGGCAAUAAGGUGAAAAUAACGACGACGACCCGAGUCCGAAAGCUAGCCAAGGCCCGAUUGAAUAGACGGGCUGUGGAGAGAAGGAAUUGGGAGAAAUUCGGUGAUGCCGUGCAUGAAGAUGUGGGGAGUCGCCUCACCAUGGUUUCCACUGAAGAAAUCAUUCUCGAACGACCUAGAGCCCCUGGUUUGAUUCUCGAUUCUCACUCUCUCCCUUUUUCUUUUAUUAUUGUUUUCAUUUCUUCUAGAUUUGAUGAAUGGGAUGGAAAUGGACUGUGUGCAUUCGGAUAUUUGUCGAUAUUUGAUCUGCUUUUUGCGGGGAUUUCGAAUUCAGAUAUUCUGAGUAACAACUGAUAUCUAAAAUUUGUGAUUUCAGAUUUAGAUAUCCUAUUUCUUGCGGUGUCCGAUAAUAUUCGAGUUCAUAUAAUAUUUGAUCAAGGAAUUUUUUAUUUAAUUUUUCUAUGGAAAAUUUUUGAUAGAAUUGGUGUUUGAACAAAUAAUAUUCUUGCAGAAUUAAAAGCUAGAACUUGUGAUUUUAUCGAAUAAUAAAAUGCCUAAGUUUGUGAACAACCUUGGCCUAACUGCAAGCGUAUUGCGUUGUAUGAGAGCUUGGUUUCGAUUAGCCAAUCACAUACCGGCUUGUUAGUGGCCUUUUUUCACAGUGAAAAACAUCUCUAUGUUUCACUUUUGAGCCAUUAGCUACAUUCUUCGGAUGCAUGAUUUUGCAUUCGUAUUUCCGCACUUACCUUACUAGCUGUGGAAACUGAAAUUCCGCUCCUAUUUUUGUUCAAUCACUUGAUUUUUUGUUUUAAAUUUUAAUGCUUGCAUAUUUUGUUUCGGAUUCGUGUUUCAUUCGAACACAAUGGCUAGGUUUUGCCAAUCUCACAUUAGCUGAAUGGCUGUUUGUUUCAUGUGGACUGGCCAUGAGGCCACCAAUAGCAUUGUGUUUUGUUGGCAUUUCAUUGUAAAACUGCAAAGCCGAAUUCUUGGUUUUGUCCCAAGGCCAUAAGCAACAUUCAAGACAUGUGUUUCCCGCACUUCAUGUUUCUAAGUCUAGACAUUGAAGGUUUCUAUCAUGAUGAAGACUAUGUUAGAAUUGCUGGAAGACGCUCAUGGUUAAAUUAGGUUGUAAAUUUCUGGACUUUCGGUUUCUAUCAUUAGUUCAUCUUUUGGAUGUCUAAACUUCUGAAACACAGAGUUAUUAUUAACAGGUAUGAAAGCCGAAGAAAUAAAGGUACCAGGGGACAGCUUGGCUCAGCUAAGCAAAGGAGGUGCUGUUCUCAUGGUGUGCCGCACAUGCGGUAAGAAAGGUGAUCACUGGACUUCCAAAUGUCCAUACAAGGAUCUCGCUGCUCCGGUUGAAACCUUUGUCGAUAAACCUGUGGCAUCUGAGGCCUCUGUGGCUGCUUCUGGAUCUGGAAAGGGAGCUUAUGUUCCACCAAGCAUGAGAGCAGGUGCCGAGAGAACUGCUGGAUCAGAUAUGAGACGUAGGAAUGAUGAAAACUCAGUGAGGGUAACAAACUUAUCUGAGGAUACCCGGGAGCCCGACUUGCUUGAGCUAUUCCGUCCAUUUGGUGCCGUGACUCGCGUGUAUGUUGCUAUGGAUCAGAAGACGGGCACAAGUCGAGGCUUCGGUUUUGUUAACUUUGUAAAUCGAGAGGAUGCGCAAAGAGCUAUUAACAAGCUCAAUGGCUACGGUUACGACAAUCUCAUCCUUCGAGUCGAAUGGGCCACACCAAGAGCAAACUAGAACUCAUUCAGUUGCAAUUCACUCUGUAAGUGCAGAUUUUAACCCUUUUUUCUUUAAAUUAUUUUCCCCGGUUAUUUAUGUAAGUUGAUUUCAUGGUUGGCAUUUGUGUCAAUGUUAUCAUUUUUUUGACUCAAGUGGAAACAGGAGAAAGAAAGUGUUCUUUUGUUUUUCUCAAAUAAUAAAAGAUUAACAAAAUUUUCAAUGUUAGAUUUUGUUGACUGUUUGUAUGCUUGAUUUUCUUUUUCUAAAUUUAUACAUGAUUUAAUGUAGAAAUGUAUAAAAAUACAUAUUUGUACAAAAACUAUAUAAAGAUACAACAUUUUAAAUAGAGAUGGCAAAACUCAAACCACUCAUGGAAUUCAAACCGAUUUGUUCCGAAUGAAAUGAUAUUUUUUUUUAAAUAAAUUUAAAUUUGUUAAAAACUUUUGUAACAAUCUAUUAUAAAUUCCGAAAAUCUGCUCUUUUUAACACAAUACUUAAAACUAUCUAUAGUCCAUUUGCAACCCAUGAAUAAGAAGAUAAUAUGCCUUAACACACUUGAACUAAAAUUCAAUCAGCCAAAUUUGUUACACCUAUGUAUUGCUCAAAUUUAAAUUUCUUCGAUUAGGUUUAAUUAUACUAAUAUAUUAGUCUUAUCUAAUGUUAAUUAUAGAUAAAAAAUACAUUAAACUCACCAACUAGUCAAGCUAAAUAUUAGAAGUACGGACUCCAAGUAUCUUUUAAAAAAGACGGCCAAACUGAAACUAAUAGCUUAUUUAAUUGCCCCAGAAACCAUACAUUUCAGCAUCAAGAAAACAUAGUUCCUUUAUACACAGAACCAAAAAAGGCAUUUCCAGUUCUAACUAAUAUAUUACCCACAUGUAAAUACAUAACAAUCCACUCCAAAUAUUUCAAUGGUAUGCCCCCAGAAACACCCCCAAACACACUUACCGUUGAUUGCCAAUCAACGCCUCCGAACUCGCCUGCCAUUGGGAUUCAUCGGUUCUGCUGCCGGACCUUCUGCUGCAAGAUCCAUCCCGUAUACACUGCUGACACUCCUCUUCCGACUUGAAAGCAGACUCGAGCUCUCCUCGCUGGAUGCAAAGGCCUUCAACAUCUCCGAUAACAAAGAUGGACAACAUUCCUCCAAGUGCUUGAACCCUUCUGAUUGCAUCACCGCUGCAGAAUAACGGAAAUAUACAUUAGCUUAAGCAUUACCAUUGCCAAACAAGAAAAUAUGUUAGUUUGCAAUGUAAUACUAAUUCCAACUUUUCAACAGAACCAGGUUCAUGUGAUAAAAAAUGAUCUAUCACAAUCACUUUCCAUUGUCCUCGGAACAAACACAUUCAGAGCUUGUCAACGAUUGACCGGCCAUGCAUAGAAUUGACUGAAAGAGACAAAUGACUAACUGGUGCAUCCAACCAAAACAAUUUCACUUUACUACGAACAAAUUUUCAGGGAUAAAUUCCAACAUCUGAAGCAUUUAACAGUUUUGAGCACACAACUUGCUAUGCCUAGACCAAUAUCAUGCACUAAUUCGUUUCCCAGCAUUUUGCAGAACAGUUUUAUCUAAAAAUUUCAAGUACCAAACUGCUUGGAGGUUAAGGGAUUAGGUGCAUUAACCUUGAGGAGGGUUUUGUACUUGAAAUACAGGCAUCUAUCGAAGAGUUAGACAUGCAUAGGAAAGCAAACUUCUGAUGCAAACAAUACAAAAACCCAAGUUUACAUAACCUGGAAUUUGCACCGGUAGUAUUUUGAACACACACCUCCCAAGUUUGACGGAGUUGCAGCAAAUUUUAAACAUAUGGCCUUAAGCUGUGCACAAUGGUGCUGCUCAGCAAGUGCAAGGGUUGUUGCCACCGUAUCAGCAUUAAGUUCUUCACACAAUUUCGCCUCACACAACACUUUGAGUCUAUCUAAAUUGUACAGAUCAGCAGCAGCCAAAAGAUGCUGAACCAUGUUGGUAGAUGUACACAUAGAUGUGGAGUCUACAAUUUCUUGUACAUCAGGAAGCUUGUCGGUAUAAAUAAACAAGAGCAUUGCCUGUAAGAACAAGAAGAAGAACAGGUAAGGGUAAUGAUGAAUUCUCAUUUGAGAUGAUCUUCAUUAGCCAAUAAAUGAAAAAGCACAUCAACAUAACUAAAAUCUAUACUUGGAUCUUCACAUCCAGGCAAAUAUAAGAACCACAAUUUGUUGAAUCCUAUUUCUAAUCAAAAGAAUUACGAAGAAUCACAUUAUUUCAAGGGUUUGCUUGUGCAAUAUUCUUAAUUUUAGGUUCAUUCUUCAAAGUCCAAAAGAACCUAAUAGGAAGCAUCACCUUGAAGAUAAAAGACUCAAAAUCUUUCAUUACUUCUUUAUGCAAAUGAAUUCUCAUUUGAGUUAAUCCUUUCAUUAGCCAAUGAAUGAAAAAGCACAUCUAUAUAACUAAAAUCUACACUUGGAUCUUCACAUCCAGGCAAAUAUAAGAACUACAGUUUAUUGAACCCUAUUUCUAUUUCAAUUAAUUGAGAAGAAUCAUAUAUUUAUUGCAAGUUUUUCCUUAUGCAAUAUACUUAAUUGUUGGUUUAUUCUUCAAAGUCCAAAACCAAAAGAAAGUAAAAGGAAGCAUCACCUUGAAGAUAGAAGGCUCAAAAUCUUUUACUACUAUUUUAUCCAAGUUAGGGUCUCCAACGAGCCCGAAAAACUGUGCUUUAAAAACAGGUGAACGUGCAGCAAGGAUCAACUUAUGUGCUUUAAAUGUCUCAUCACCAACUUGAAACAUUAUAUCACACCCAACUUCGGAUUCUAACAAAGCUCUAAGAUUCUGACCCAUGUCUGAUGGCGGUACAGGAAUAGAAGACAGUUUUGGUCCCUCAAGGCGAGUUCUGACUACUCCAACAGUGCAGUUCAUGAUUAGGCAAUCAUCCUUAAUGUAGUCAGAACUUUCUAAAGUUGUUCUUCUAAAGAAUCGUUUGUAGCCCCUGAAUGCAUGGAAGAAAAGAGGUAAAAGCAAUAUAAUAUGCACUUAUUAUAGAAUAAAUAUUAUAGUAAAGCUGAAAGAAACUUAGAUGCUCAAAAUAAAAUGCACAUAUUUUAACAACAGAGAUGAACAUGAAACAUCGAAAGUGAUGUUAAAGGAAAUCACCAAUAAAACACUUCUUCAAAAAGAGAAAAGUUACUGGUUUCUGCCCCUAGAACCAUUUUCUUUUUUCUUGUUUCAGUCAUUGCCUCACUGGGUCCUGUCCCAGGCUCACUUAAGUUAUACUAACAGCUUCUAAGUGGUUUUUAGCUUAUAUGAGUUCAUAAUUCUCAGACACCUUAAAUUGGUGCAAUGCUUAGAUCCUCAAAAAUAAAUGUAGGAGAAUUUGCCAAAAAGAUGUAACCCUACCAAACGCUUAAUAACAACUCCAUUGAACCUUACGGAAAAAUAACUACAAUUCAAAGUGACUACACAAACGUCUCAAAAUCUAUAUAAAACAAUUAUUUUCAUAUCAACUUAUAGCUUAAACACGAUAAUGACAUGGGAAAUUUAACAAACACACACGAAUUGCUGAACCUCCAUUUUCGAUCAAAAUUCACCAACAUAUAGAACCAUAUCACUAUAAUGUAAAAAAAAGCAAGUACCCAAUAAAUUAUAAAAUUAUUCUCCCAAUGCACAAAUAUAUAUAGAGUUUCAAAAAAGAACAUAAAAUUAUAUACCAAACUCCUAAAGUCUAAACCAAAAUUAUUACCACAUGCUUCCUCUGUACUUCAACGUAUAAGGCCCACUCUCCAACGCUCUGUCAAAGUGACUAUGAACCUUAUGCUUCCCUUUCCCGCUCUGGUCAACAAGGGUGAGCUCGAAAAGCGCUCGAACAUCCGUACCUUCGCUAGCCAAGGCAAUGAAAACCGAAACAUACAUCGCACUAUCCUCCGGAUUUUUACCGUCGGGGUAGAAGUAAAUCGCCCAAUCGUAGCCUCCAACCGUAAAAAUAUCGCUUUGUAUACAUUUCCCGGCACCCAUCCCUUUCGCCAACGAGUAACCCUUGAUCGUGAAUUGGUGUGACCCGUUCACCGUCUCACUCACCGAUUUCGAUUCCGAAUCCUUGAAAUCUUCCAUGUUGCUUUUCUUUCUUUUUUUCAUCGAGUUCCCCAAAACCCUAACCCUAGAAAUUGCAUUUAUUGGGUAAAUUUGGAGAAAUAAGUGAGGGUAAAAUGUGGAAAAUAAGAGGUUAAGGCUAUUUCCUUAUAAAAAUAGAGGUGACGGUGAUUGUGGUGGCAGCAGCGACAGCAGCGGCGGCGGCGAUAAAAUGACCGGAGGGGAAAUGUUAAAGAGGUUUCUUAGAGGUUUUUUUUCCUUUUUCUCCUGCAUCGGUGGAGUUUGGGGGUUGGUUAACGGGAAUUGUGUAUGCAAUAUAUAUUUUUAAACAAAAUUAGCAUUUUUUUAUGAUGUAAAAAAGUAAAUAAUAAAUGGCUAAUAUACUAAAAAGCCCUUAAACGACUACUAAACUUUGAAAUUUUGAUGCAUUAGAAAUUUAAAAUUUAUAAAUUUAUAGAAAAAAUCAAAUUUUAUAAAAUAUCAAAUUUUAUGUAUUUUAAAUUUAAUAAUAAUAUAAAAAUAUGAUAAUUUAUAAAAAAAUUUAAAAUAUAUAAAAUUAAUAAAAAAAAGUUUGGAAUGAAUCUAAUUUAGAAGUGUUCGUGGAUUGGGUUCAGGUCGGGCUUAAGUAUGAUAUUAAUAUACUUUAUACUUGCUUAAGCUCAGCCCGACCCAAAAGAUGAGCUUAAAAUUUUGCCCAAGCCCGACUAUAUUUGUAAAUAACUAACCUAAGUCUGUUUUUGCCCACUCAUAUUAUUUUUAAAAUAUAUAUUUAUAUUAUUUUAAUUUAAUAUUUAAUAUUUUAAUAUUUUUUAUUUAUUAAAAUUUUAUAUUUAGUUUUCUUAACAUUUUUUAAUAAUUACAUUAUAGUAGUAUUAUAUAUUACUAUAGAUUUAAUUUUUAUGUGUUAUAAAUUAUAUAAUAUAAAACAUUACAAACUUAAAAAUAUAUUGGGUCGGGUUGGGCUUGGGCCUUAAAUGUUGAAGCCCAAGCUCGGCCCAUGUUUUAAAUAGGUCAUCCAAAUCCAUUUUUCGGACCUAAUAUAUUUUUUUCCAAACCCUCCCAAUUUCGAGCAAGCCUUCAGGCUUGGACGGAUAACUCAAUCCAUAAACAGGCCUAAUCUAGUCAAAUGAUUAUCCAGAUUCAAAUGUAUUUGGAGAAUUAGUUGUCUAAGUUCAUUCUAGUGACAAAUAAUAGUUUUAAUAUUUUUAUAAUUUUAUAUAUUUUAGAUUGUAUAUAUUUUAAAUUUCAAAAUAAUAAUAUUAAAUUUAAAUAUGUAUAUAUAUAAACUAAAAACUUAUGUCUAAAAUAUACUUGGGCAAAUGGUUGUCCAUAUUUAGAUGAACUUGGAGAACCAUUUGUCCAAUUCAUUCCCUAUAUGUUAAAAAUUUAUAUAUUUUUAAAAAAUGUUAAAUACUUUUAAAUAUUUUUUCACAUAUCAAAUGUAAAGCUUUCACUUAUCACGUGCUAUUGAUCAUUAAUACCACAUUAGUGUGUUUUAAUGGUGUUAAUCAGGUACCUAGGAAAAGUACUAAGUUAGCUUACGGUGUUUAAGUUUAGUUCCCAAUUAGAUCCAAAAAAAGUUAGGCAUCUAGGUACCAAUUGUUAAGUUUAAAUAGUUUCGAUGAAACCUUCAAUUUCUGUCGUACGUUAGGACAAGUGAGGAGUGUUACAAAUGCUUCUCAUAUGUAAUGCUAGAAAAACAGGCUCGAGCCAGAAAAGCCUGCUCGUGCUGAUCCAAGCUUCUAACAAAUAUGAUCUGAGAAAUUUGAGCCUAAUAUUGCUUGAGCUCAAGAAAGCCCGAAUCUAUAAGAAUUUGAGUCUGAGAUCAAUUUGGUCCAAGAUCGAGAUAAAUCCAACCUAAAGCCCGAAUUUAUAGCUGAACAACCAUAAUAGACAAUAAUUAAUAUAAUUUUACGAUAUUACUUAAAAUAUGUUCAUAAGCCUUACACAUUUAUAUUAAAAUUUUAUUAAUAGCAAAAGUAAUUAAUAAUAAAUCUUUAUGUUAAAUUAUAAAGUGAAAUAAAUUUUUAAAAAUAUUAAUCGAAUAUAAAAUAUUUUUAAUAUUACAAUUACAUAAUGUAUAAUAAAUAUAUAAAAUUAAUAAUUAUUAAAUUUUAUAAAAUUUAAAUUUAAUGAUAAUAUAAAAUAUAUAAUAACAUAAUUUAUUAAUUUAACAAUACGAUAAGUACUUAUAAAAAUUGAUUAACAUGAUUUAUUAUGCGAUACUGAGAAUAUUACUAAUAAUUUUAAUUUUAAUGAUUUGGGAAUUUAGGUUUUGUUUUUUAUUGAUUAAUGUUUAAUGUUUUUAUUAAUAUUAUUAUCUUUAUAUUAAUUUUUAAUUUGGAAUGAAUUUAUUUUUAUUUAGGUUGGGUUUUGAAUUAAAGUUUAAAUUGGGCCUACGUUUGGGUUUGUUUGGUAUUGGAUAUGGUUUUAAAUAUAUUACACGUUUAAUAAGUGUAAAGUUGGUUAAUUUCGUUUGAACAAUUUUUAAUUUCAAAACCGAAAUUGAACCGAUAACAUCAAAUCAACUGCUUACCUAACCCAACCUUUGCAUAUAUAAACUAGUAAUAUAAUAACUGAUAAUAUUUAAUCAUUAAUACAUAUAUAAACUAUUUAUUAUAUUAUAUUAUAUUAUAUUAUAUAGUAGGAGGACUAACUUUUAAAUGUAUGAAGAGUAUAGAGACUUAAAACAUAUUUCAACCAAUAUAAUAAUAAACAAUAAUAUGUAAUAAUUAAUAUAUUAUGUACUACUAUUAUAGUAUAUGAUCUAGUAUUACAUAAUGUAAUAAUAUAUUAUAAAACUAUUAAUACAUAUAUAACUAUUGAUUAGUCCAAAAUCAAAAUCGAAUUAACUAAUCGAUUUGCUUGAAUUGGCUCGAUUUAGUCAGUUAACAGUGGCGUAGCUAGGGGCUGGUAGGAGCCCCUAAAAUGGAAAAUUUUCCAUUUAGGUGCUUUAAAAUUUUUAAAAUUUUUAAUUAGUAAAGGUCAAAUUACAUUUUGGCCCCCUAAAAAUGAUAAUAAUUUUAUUUAAUCCUUUAAAAUUUAUAAAAAUAUAGGCUGUUCAAAUGGUAAAAUUGCAUUUUUAAUUUUGUAAAAAUUAAAAUUUAAUUUUGACCCCCUAAAUUUUUUUUUAUGGUUUCGCCCCUAUCGGUUAAGUAGGUCUUAAUAGCUAACUAUAAUAGAUGAUAUACUAUUAUAUAAUAGAAUAAUAUAGUAUGUAACUAUUACUAAAACUUUAAUACAUAUAUAUAACUAUGAUUAUAUUAUAUAUUAUAAUAAAAGAUAUAGUAUUACAUAAUAUUAUAAUGUUUAAUUAUUAAUGCAUGUAUAAACUAUUAAUAUAUUAUAUAUCAUAUGCAGGGGCAAAGCUAGAAAUUUUUUUUAGGGGGAUCGAAAUUAAAUUGUAAUUUUUAUGAUAGUAAAAAUGCAAUUUCACCGUUUUAAUAGCCUAUAUCUUUAUAAAUUUUAAAUGAUUAAAUCAAUUUUUUUAUCAUUUUUAAGGGGUCAAAGUGUAAUUUUACCUGCACUAAUUUAAAAUUUUUCCAUUUUAGAGGGGACCGCAGGCGUUGCUAGCCCCCUAGCUAUGCCCAUGAUUAUAUGAAUAUGAUAUAGUAUUAUAUAAAAUAAUAGUAACGCUAACUUUCAAGUGUACAAAGAGUAUAGGAACUUAGAGUAUAUUUCAACCAAUAUAAUAAUAAACAAUAAUAUAUAAUGAAAAGUAAUAUAUUUAAAACUAUUAAUACAUAUAUAUAACUAUUAAUUGGUCCAAAAUCAAAACCGAAUUUAUCAAUCGAUUUGCUUGAAUUGGCUUGAUUUGGUUGGCUAAGUCAGUUUUAAUCUCUAACUAUAAUAGAUGAUAUACUAUUAAAUAAUAUAAUAAUAUAGUAUAUGAGGAGGGAUCCACUUACACCGAUGUAAACCAUUUUGUAUCUCUUUGUAUGACUAAUAUUUUAAUAAUCUAAUUAUUGAAUUUAUCGAUAUAAUUUUACUUGUCCUGCACGUAAAAUUUUUAAUCGAUCCAAUAUUUCUAUCAUAUUGAUCUAAAAUACUAUAUAUAUAUUGAUAUUUAUUGAACAGAUCGAAAUUUUUUCAUAAAACAAAAUAGUUAGAAUUUUUAAUUUACAUAAAAUUUGACAUACAAAAUAUAUAUGAAUGAAAUACAAAAUGUAAUGGUUGGAUCGUGAAAAUAUUAAUCAUACAAAAAAAAUACGAAAUGUAGUAAAACUACUUUAGUUUUAUACUUUUACACCGAUGUAAGUGAAUCCCUCCCCAUAGAAUAUAACUAUUACUAAAACUAUUACUACGUAUAUAUAACUAUUAUUAUAUUAUAAAUUAUAAUAAAAAAUAUAGUAUUACAUGAUAUUAUAAAUUUUUUAAUCAUUAAUUCAUAUAUAUAUAAGUUAUUAGUAUAUUAUUUAUUAUAUGAUAUGAUAUAGCAUUAUAUAAUAUAGUAGGAGGGCUAAUUUUUAAAUGUACUGGGAGUAUAGAGAAUUAGAACAUAUAUAUAAACAAAUAUAAUAAUAAUUAAUAAUAAUUAAUAAUUAAUAUAGUAUUACUAUUAUAGUAGGUGCUAUAGUAUUACAGAAUGUAAUAAUAUAUUUUAAAACUAAUAAUACAUACAUAACUAUUAAUUGGUCUAAAAUCAAAAUCUAAUUUACAUACUGAUUUGCUUGAAUUGGAUCGAUUUGGUCAAAUAAGUUGGUUUUAGUAACUAAUUAUAAUAGAUUAUAUACUAUUACAUAAUAUAAUAAUAUAGUAUAUAGCUAUGACUAAAAUUAUUAAUACAUACUAGUAUUUCUAUCACAAGCAUAUGCGUGUGGACACGAUGUAUAACGUGUGGCUAACUUUAGCGGCGCUUAUCCCACAAACGCCGCUAUAGACCGAGACCUUUAGCGGCGUUUAUCCCAUAAACGCCGCUAAAGACCGAGACCUUUAGCGGCGUUUUUCCCACAAAUGCCGCUAAAGACCAAGACCUUUAGAGGCGCUUCUCCCACAAACGCCGCUAAAAACCAAGAACUUUAGCGGCGCUUUUCCCACAAACGCCGCUAAAAACAUUAUUUAAAAAAAUAUUUUAAUUAAAUAAUAUUUACUUCUAUCAUAAAUAUUUUAUUAUGUUUUAUUUUUAAAUUUUAAACUUUAAACUAUAACUUUUAAGGAUAAAAAAUAUUAUAUUAAAAUUUUAACUUUAAAGCUAAAUAUAAAAAUUAAUGAAUUUAAAUUAAGAAAAUUAAAACAAGUUACAUUCUAUAUUAGAAUUACAUAAGAAAAUUGUUUACAUUCUAUAUUAGAAUUACAUUAGAAUUACAUAAGUUCUGUUUACAAGUUACAUUCUAUAUUAGAAAAUUGUUUACAAGUUACAUUCUCUCAUGACCAACUCUCAAAAUCAACUAUUUAAGGGAUCUUUUUUCCCUUUACUCGGUGUAACCGAGUUGCAACAGGUGGUUUAUCCAUACUUUUCUUGCCAUCCCACAUGUAAACAUCACAUAUAGCAGUAGCAAUUGCAGCCUAGUACUUACAAGCAGAAAUGCUUACGAUUGUUUUCUCACAAAGGGAAUAUAGCUGUACAAAUUCAUCCAAAUGAAGUAAAUUAGUUUUAGAAUUUAAAAUAAUAAAUUAAUAACACAAUUAAGAGAUCAGUUAGCACAUUAGGAAGGGAGAGAAGUAUAUUGUAAGAGAAUAACUUGAGUGCCCACGACUCUCGCAAACUAAAAUAUAUCAAGUGAUUACAAUUAGGAUUUUCAACCUUUCACUGUCCUUAAACCUUUAGGAAGUAUGAUUACAGAACAUACUUUAGCAUUUUCCUGAAUAGAUAAUUUUGCCAGUCUCUCUUUCUCAGCACGCUGGAAUGCAGGUGGAUCUGAUCCUUCAUCGAGCCCUCCUGAAACCUUCAUGAACUGCACCAACCAGUAACAGCAUGAACUUGAGCUUCAAUGAUAGAACAGUUUCCAGUGGUACAAUUGUAACGGACAAAAGAAGACAGGAACGCCUAGUAGGUACAUGGGUGCUCACCUCUUCAUAACAUUCAUUACAAAGUCCAUAGGCAAAAGGUUUUCUCUCCUUGUGCCUACAUAGCACUUCAUCUAAGUUGGUUUCUUUUGACCCAGUAUUUGGUUGUUUUCUAGUUAGUGAACUAGUUCGAAGCUCCCUCUCCUUUUCCGUAAACUCCUCCAUCUGGUCAUAAGUUUAAAACAGUGGAGGUAUUUUCAAGAAAUGAAAUCAAUAUUUAAAAAAUAAAUGCAACAGAGGAUAAGUUAACUACAUGCAAAAUACAACAAAUUCAACAUAACACUUGUUGUAAUGAUAAAAAAUUGGCAUCAAAUUUUUCAUAAAAUUAUUUAGAUACUCCUUAGAGUGGACAUAAUCAAUAAGAGUAAUAGCAGUAAAGAUUCACUAAUCAAAUUCUACCAUACAAAAAAAUAAUAGCAAUGACACGUGUUACAAUUACGACAACAACAACAUAGCUUUUCUCCCAGAUGGUAAUUAUAAACAGAAACAAUUAAAGCUGAGAAUUAAAUAUACUUUUUUUCAUAUUUCAUUUCUUUGGGUCCUUUUCUCUUUUUUUAAUGUGCCAAAAAAAAGAAGAAAAAAAUCCAACAACAUGCCAACUAUACUUGCUGUUCCUAGAUCUCUAUAGUGAAACAGCAAGGGAAACCACAAUGUAGCAGACAUGUCAUUAACAAAACAUACCAACAUAUAAUUGUCAACAUAAAUGAUACCAUUUUUCAAAAGAUAAAAUCAAGGCUUUGCUUGGUAAAAUGGAAAAAAAAUUGGAAAGAUUAAAGAUUGAAGGAGAAAAAUAGAAAGAAAAUAUUUUUGUCCUUUCUGUUGGUACACUUGAUAGGAAAGAUGGAAAAAUAGAAAGAAAAGGUAAUUUAUUUUCAUCCAUUGCUUGAUAGAUUAGAAAAAUGAGAGGAAAGCAAAUUAAAAUUUAAGAUGUGAAAGGCAAAUUACCAAUGAGCUUGAAUACAUUUUAUUACUUUACAUAGUGUUAAGCAUCCAACCUAAAACUACUUGGCAGUAUAUGGGGAAACACAACUUGAAUAUAAGACAAGAAACCAAAGACUUAACAGACAUGAGGUUACACCAAUUAACACUGACCCUCACGAGCUCAACAAAAGCCCACAUGUGAAUAACCUCAUGUUAAGCAUCCAACAUAACACGGAAUUCAUAUUCAAUCACAUUGUUCACAUAGGCUUAAUGAAAGGUGCAUAAAUCUGCUGCUAAAAGUCAGGUUUGAAUCUCAUUCUCUCUACUCAAAGAUUACUUCCAAUGCCAAUUGAAACAAAUACCUUAGCAGGAAUCCAUUUUACAUGACCAAUAGCAUCCAUAGCAGCCUGAUAAAAGCCUUCCAUUGAUGCAAACCAUUGUUCAGUUGCCCUAAAUAUAGUAGGCUUCUUUGUAUGCCAAUCAUAUAGAUACUUAUGUUCUGCAUAACAGAAUAGGUAUGGUGAUUACUGGCAUGGGUACCCUUUUUUGUUUAACACUCAGAAAAAGAAUAGCAGCCAACAACAGACCUUUAUAAAAUUAUCACAAAGAAUAAUAAUAACAACAAUAAUAGUAGUAGAAAGAUGAGCUUUAAAUGAAAAACCUACCAUAUGAUUCUUCCAUUAUAAUGGACAAUUUUUCAUCCAAGUAUUUGAUAACUGCAGCAUUACCAUCUCCAAGAACAUCAAGCCCAUUAAACUGCCCAGCUUCCUCGGUGAACUUUCCAUUAUCAUGGUCUUAACUUGUUCCAGGCUUAUCAUAGAUCAGAAUAUGAGAAUUGCAAGUUUCUAUUAUGUAUAUCUUACCUGAGUCAAAAAAGCAUAGAGUGGAAGAGUCACAUAAUUGAAAAGGAACUGUAUGAUAACCCUGAAAAAGUUGCAAAUUUUACAUUUUAUGAGAAAAGUUUCCACUUUGUUAAAUCAAAAUGUUGGCCUAAAAAGUUGCAUGAACUCACCCCAUUGAGACUCUAAUGAUAACGUCUUCAAUAUGUUCAUCGUAGCAAGAUCUUAUCGUAAAUUCAUACUGAAAUUUGAUGAAAAAAGGACUUAUUAGAUAAGGUGAUCAAACAAAUUGCAUAUGAAACACGCAACAGAAAGGAAAGAACUACAUGUACAAAUUUGCAUAUCAAACAAUUUGCUCAUAAUCCCAAACCAGAAAUACAUGUACAAAUGAAUCAAACAUGCUAUUGUACUUACAAUUAAGGGGAUAAAAGGUAGCCAUAAAUAUGAAUACCAUCCUGUUGAUGAAGAGCAAAUUGAUCAUUAAUAAUUAGUAAGCUCAAAAAUAUCCAUCACUAUGUUCAUAUGAUGAUACUAUUGAACUUAAUUCUCUAUGAAUAUGAUGAGAUACUUACCAUGUGUAUAGGCAAGACAAUCAUUAACUUAGCAUCGUAAAGUUUUAACUAAUAAAAUUGAAGAACACUUGGUUAGCUUGAGACUACCAACCUGAUCCCUAUAACAACUUUAAAAUCAUCCUCUAAUGAUCUCUUGAUGUAUUUCUGGAAAUCGAAUUUUGUUUCGUUUUCAAGUGCCAAAUGUGCCUGAAAGCAUUGCAGAUUGAAGUUUCAAUUAGAAACAAGAAAAUAGGAAAAAUAAAAUAACAUAGAACUCCAUAGAAAUCCAUGGCUUAGCUUACCAUGAUAAAUCCAUGCCUCAAUGUCAGGUAAUCAACCUUUGUGACUGACCCAAAGAAUUGUCUAAAGAAACAGACCUAUAAAUAAAGAAUCGAAUCAGAAUUCAUAACCAUAAAAUGUCACCUAAAGAAAAAGAAUCCCAUGCUAUAAAUUCAAUGGUUGCUGGACUUAUUUUACAGAAGGGACUCGGAUUUUUCAUUUUUCUUGAAAUGCUCAAGUUUUUUCGUAAAAGUCGGGCCCUCCAAUUAUAUGAAAAAAAGUUCAAAUGUUCAUCUGAUUGUACUUACAAUCCAAAGAGUUAAGGUAGAACGGCUCCAAAAGCUCAGAUGCCUAAACCUGAAAACUAAUAAUCAUAAAGUGAACCAACUGAAUUAGAAGUAAAAAAAAUAGUUCUAAAACAAAAAAUAUAAAUGAAAAGGCAAAAGACAAAGAGAAAGACAGAAAUGAAAACGCAAACACAAGUAAAGAUUCAUACCUGAAAUCAGUCUCCGACAAAGCAACCAAAAAGAAACAGACAGACCCACAACAAUAGAUUUCAAACAAAGAGUGAAACAGUGAGUUUUGCAAUAGAAAGCUUAGGGAUUAUCCCUCACGAAAGUAGACAAAUAAAAAACUAAAAAGAAACAGACAGACCGACAUCGAUAGAUUUCAAACACAUAGCGAAAACAAGGGAUUUCAAUAUCACCAAAAAAAAGAAACGGCAGACAAAAUCUUUGGGUUUCUCCCUCUCACGAAAAAGAAUGAGGGGAAAUAUUGAAAUGAAACCGAGAGAGAGAUAAUGAGAAGGAAGCGGGAUAUGAAAAGUCUGAAGAAAACGGGAGUGAAGAAAAGUCUAAAGAUUAGGGAUUCAGGGGGAAAAAUUAGGGUAAAAUGGCAGGAUUUUAUAAAGUUAAAUGAUUUUUGCGGCGUUUUCUAAAAAAAACACAGCUAUUGUCAUUUUGAACAAAAAUUAUUUUAUUUUUGUAUUUUAAUAAUAUAAAUAAACAAAAUAUUUUUAGCGGCGCAUUUUCAAAACCCCGCUAAAGACCCCAACAUUAGCGGCGCUUUUUCAAAAACGCCGCUAAAGACUCCAGCAUUAGCGGCGCUUUUCCAAAAACGCCGCUAAAGACCCCAGUAUUCGCGGCGAUUUUCCAAAAACGCCGCUAAAGACCCCAGUAUUCGCGGCGAUUUUCAAAAACACCGCUAAAGACCCCAACAUUAGCGGCGCUUUUCCAAAAACGCCGCUAAAGACCCCAUCAUUAACGACGCUUUUUCAAAAACGCGCUACAACCCCCAAAGGUAAGAAAACGACGCCGUUGGGCUUUGGUUUUUUGCGGCGUUUUUUAAAAAACGCCGCUAAUGCUCUAUCUUUAGUGGCGAUUUUCUUAAAGCGCGCUAAUGCUCGAUUUUUACCGGCGUUUUUUUAUCCAAACGCCGCUAAAAGUGUCGUUAAAAGUCUGUUUUGGUGUAGUUUGAAAAAAAUAAAACAUAUGGUGUUGUCAUCAAUCACAAGUUAGUGUCAAAUUGACUCGUGAAACUAAUUCAAUCAACAACAUUUUGUCAUUUCCCUAAUCAAGUUGGUGUCCGGUUGACUCGAGACAUCAACUUAGUCUGUGGCUUAAAUAAUAGUAUAAAUACAAAUGGUGGAGGGAAUAAAAUGUGCUUAAUAAAAUUAAAAUGCAUGGCAAAAAAUCAAAAUAAAGCUUUGGUGAGUAGUAAAUUAAAGGUUUUAACAAUUCAAUCAAUGUGAGUUCAAAUUCAACAAUAUGCAUAUUUUUAUUGUAUUUUUUCAAAUAUAAAAAAAAAACCUAAAGUACCCUUGAAUUAUAUAAAUUAUUUUAAAUACAAAAAGAUAAUUUUGUCAUUUCCCUAACCAAGUUGGUACUCAGUUGACUCAUUACACGAAUUUAAUAAAGGGCUUAAAUAAUAAUAUAGAUAUAUAACUAUUAUUAUAUUAUAGGUUAAAAUAAAAGAUAAAGUAUCAAUAAUUAUGCAUAAUUUAGUAUAUUAUAAAACAUAUCUAUAACUAGUAAUACAUGAAAUGUUAUUAAAAUUUUAAUAUUUUAAUAAAAUAUUUUUUUAUUAAAUUAGAUUUUGAAUUGAGUUUUAACUUUUACAAAAUGUAUUUGGGUAUUGAGUUUUUUUUUUUAAAUUGAGAGUUGACUUAUAAUUAGUUUAUUUUGACUUUUCGUAAUAAUGAGUAUAAGAUUCAAGUUUGGUGUAACACCUCUUACCCGUAUUCGAUCCCGGAAUAGGGUACGAGGCAUUACUAAAACACAUACACUUGUAUACGUAUUAAACCGAUUUACAAAAUUUCAUCCGAAUUAAAACUGUUUAAAUUAUUAACAUGCUUUUAUAAUUCUUUACAACAUAUCCUCGAAUUAUUAUAUUCAUAAAUAAUAGAGCCUAUAAGACUCGAUACAAACUCAUUCAUAUGCUCAAUUUAUCCAUUAAAUUAUUUCAACCUUGAAUAAUUCACAUUAUGCUAAAAUCAACACUAAUAACAAUCAUAAAUAUCUUCAUAUUAAUUUCACAUAUUACUACAUUACAUAUCACGAGCAUAUGCCAAAAGUUCGUAUACACAACCAUCAACAAACUCAUUUCUCCUUUAGUCGACUAGUAAAUUAGCCUUAAUAUUCAUACCAACCAUUAAAUCUCACCAUUUUAUAACAUCUCAUAACCAAAUGAUUCUAAUAACAAGAUAUUUUAUAAUCAUCCUUAUGACUACAGAUAUUUCACAAAGCAUGAUUAUCACCCAACAUUAUCUAUGUACCAAAAUCACUAAUUCACAAGUAAUAACAACUCAAUGUUUUAUUUCAGUUCCAUUCAAUUCAUAACUCUUCGUGUUCACAAUUCAAAUUAAUUUCUCAAUCCAAUUUGCAUUUCAAUACUAUAAUAAUUCUUUUAAUUCAAAUCAUAUCCAUAAUAGUUUUCAUUCAACUCACAAACAAUUCAAUAUCGAUAUUUACCUUAUGUUUAUUACUAAACAUAUUAUUCAAAUUUCAACAAUUUCUAUUAAUAAAUUCAAUACCAAUACGAAUCUACUAUUCAAUUCGGCGUCUAUCGAUUAUAAACGAACAUAUGGCCAAUUAUACACGAAUCAUUCGUAUAUUUUAUUUUUCCUCCUCCUCCUCUCCAUUCCACAUCCUUAGUGUACAUAACACUUUUAGAAAUAGCAUUCUCUAUAGUUUCACUAUCCAUUCAACUUCAAAUAAGUUGUCUAGUCGAGUUACAGUCACUAAAUUAUUUUUAUCCGGAGCUACAGAGCUCCAAAUUAAGUUCCGUUAAUUUUUCCCGAAACUAGACUCACAUAUCUUCUUACCAUAAUUUUUUUAGAAUUUUUGGCUUGGCCAAUCAGUACAGAUUAUUCUUUAGAGUCACCCAUGUUUCACUGUUCAACAUCUCUGACCUCUCUUCACUAAAAAUGAAUUAUCUCAUUGUACAGAUUUCAGAUGAUACCUCCGUUUGUUUUCUUUGAAAAUAGACUCAUUAAGGGGUGUUACAUUUGGGCUCAAUGUAGUAUAUUUAGGUUUUGGAAUAUGAGUAUUAUGUUUAUAAAUUUAAUAAUAAAGAUAAAAGUUAUUCAAUUAUCAAUAUAUUAUAAUAAUAAACAAUAAAAGAUAUGUUUGUCAAUUAACAUACAUAUCGUAUAAUAAUUUUUACAUAUAAAUAGUAAUUUAAUUAUUUUAUAUAAAAUAACUUUAUUAAAUAUAUAUCAUUUAUACUUUUUAUAAGGUAAAUUUGAAUUGUGUUCUCAUUGUAUAAAAGUAAAAUGAAUCAUUACAUUUGAAAUUAAAAUAUUUAUAACUUAAAAUGAAUCAUUCACUUUUGAAGAAAAUUUAUUCGACCGAGCGUCUCACCAUGGGGUGCACUGGUUUUCUUUGUAAAGAAGAAGGAUGGGUCAUUACGAUUACGCAUAGAUUAUCGCCAGCUGAAUCGGAUGACCAUUAAAAAUAAAUACCCUCUUGACCUGUUACUAAUUAUAGUGGUAGUUUAGAUACGUUUCGACAUUUAAGGAACUUAUUUUCUAGCUAUUUUAGUAUUAAUUAUUGCACUUCCGAUACUUAGUAGUUCAAUAUUAAGUAUUAGUAAAAUAAGUGUUUUUACACAAUUUUGAAUGUUAUUGACUUAUGUGACCACUAAUGUAACCAUUAAUUUUGAAUGAAAUUGAAAAUAAUUUAGAUGCAACCACUAAUGCGGACGAGCCCAUAGAGGAAGUAACCAAACCAAUAGCUAAGUUGGAGAUCUAAAAACUGAAAACACCAAAGAUAUCAAUCCCAUCAAGGUUAGAGGACGAACAACGGAGGGACGAGGCUUAUUUUGUAAGUAUUCCUAACUUAGGGUGGGUUUGGAUGGUCGAUUGGGUGCAGUGCGGUGCAUUUAGUUUAAUUUUUGUCUCACGCUACAGUAUCGCUACAGUAUCUAAUCUCACCGUCACUGCUAUUUUUACACUAACCGCAGGUAAACGCACCGCCCAUCCAAACUCACCCUUAGUUAAAUCCCUCAAUUCAAAUUUUCACUAUUAUAACGUAUUAAUAAAAUCCCAAAAUAUGCCAAGUAUUUAAAAGAAACAAUUGCACGACAUAAGAAAAUGGAAAGAGGAGAGCAAGUUAACAUUGAUGCCUUAUGUAGUGCAUUAAUUGUGAAAAAGAUACCCCUAAAAUUAAAAUAUUCAAGUGGUUUUACGAUUACAAUAAAGAUAGGGGAUUAGUAUUUUAAUAGGGUCCUUUACGAUUUAGGGGCCAGUAUAAACUUAAUGGCCCUAUCGAUUUAUCAUAAACUUGGAAUCAAUGAGUUAAAGAACACAUCUAUAAUGAUAUAGUUAACCAAUAGAUAUUUGGUACAACUGAAAGGUGUACUCGAUACGGGAAUUUAUAAUCCCUGUCGACUUUGUAGUCCUCGUCACAUUUCCUGGUUCAACGGGCAAUGUUCUGAUACGAUAUGACAUGAGUUCGAUACGAACUAUUACAGGUAUAGAUAUGAAUUACAUGGAAAAUGAUAUUACAUGGUAUAUGGGUAUAUAAAAUGGAUGAUACAUGUAUAUGCAAUUUGAUUAAUUGUUAAGCUUAUCUAUGGCUUGGUUUAUAUACCUGUUUACAUGACUAACAUGGUUGAGGUAUAUGUACUUAGGCAUGUGGCCAAUAUAUGUUGGGAUAUGCUUUGAUUACUUACCUUAUAUGUGAAUAAAUGGUAAGUUAAAUUCUAUGAUAUACGAACUUACUAAGCUUAAAUGCUUACUCUAUGUAUUUUCCGUGUUUUAUAGUGAAUCUAAAGAUCAUUUGGGUUGGAAGCUUGUCAGGGCUAUAUCACACUAUCCAUCAGCUCUUUUGGUACUUUCAGUUGGUUUAAUUUUGGUUAUAAUGGCAUGUAUAGGUUAUUUUGGCUAAUGUUGACCUACAUGUUUUGUUGUUAUUUUGGCCAUCUAUAUGCCUUGUGUCUUAGCACUUUAUUGAUAGUAUGAGUUUAGUAUAUGGUAUGUAAAUAUUUGUUCUCUAAUGGUUGAUGUUUGGAUUGCUAUGCUUGAAUUAUGGAAUAUGAAAACUAUAGCAUGAAUGUGCACAUUGUAUAUAUGCUUUGUGAUAGAAUGCAAUCGUGGUAAAUUAACACUUUUGUGGAUAUGAUUUACAUGGUCAUUUGAUGCUAGUCUUAGAAUGGUGUUUUGGUACCAAAUGGUUACGUUUUGGUAAGAAGUUUACAUGUUAAUAUUUGGUACAACUAUGCGUAUAUGUUAGUUAAUCAAUUAGGUAAGUUUGAAUACAUGGUUAACAUGUUUAUAAAUUAUCAUUUGGGGUGCGUAAGGGCAUAUUGGUUGUAUGUGAUUAUACCAUUUGUAUAAGGCUAGAAAAUUCAUGGAUUUAGUAUCAUAUUAUGGCUUGCUUAUAUGCAUAAUGUUGGGUGUAGGUUUAUGCCAAAUUGGGUGAGAAAAAUGGCUUGUAAAAUGGCCUAUUUUCGUCUACAUUGGCAUGUGUCUCAGUCAUGUGUGACACAUAGCCAGGUAGCACGGCCGUGUGUCCCCUGCAAUUUUUAAAGGGUUACAAGUCAGGCUGUUACACGGCCUAGCACACAGGCGUAUGGCUUAGUCGUGUGACCAAGUCAGAGAGUUACACAGGUACAGACAUGGGCUGGGACACGGCCGUGUGUCUCCAUUUCGAAGGCCUACACGACCUAAGACACAGGCAUGUCUCUUGGCCGUGUAACCCCUUCAGCUUUAAAAAUUUUAAUGUUUUCCAAAAAUUUCAUUGAGUUUCUGAUUUAGUCCUGACUUGUUUCUAACGCGUUUUAUGGCCUCGAGGGCAUGUAUAAGGGACAACAUGAAUGAUUUUGAUUGGUUUUUUAUAUGAAUAUUGUUAUGUUAUGAAAUGUUCAAAAUUUUGUUUAUUUGUACUGUAACCUCUGGUAGUACUCCGUAAAUCUGUUUCGACGAUGAAUACGGGUUAGGGGUGUUACAUUAUUCCAUCCUUGUGGUAAGACAUGGGUAUGCCUAAGAGGCAUUAUCUGAAAGAAUUCUCAGCAAUGAACCCGUGUAAUGAUUUUUUCAUGGUGACUAUCAUAAUAGGGAACUUGGGGUAUUUGGAUUGUUGAUGGUGCAACUGUUUGGCAAACUUGGAAUUUCUUAGUUCUUGUAUUUAAGUUAUAUGGGAUUUUAUUUCUUGAAUUAAAACGUUGUAUUCUUCUAACAAAUAUGUCUGUCUGGACUAGAUUGAAUAUACGAUGUAACUUGUGUUUUAAUAAUUAUUGGGUCUUGUAAAGGAAUCCGUCAAAAGUAGUAUUUAUUGAGUAUCGUUCUGAGGAUCGUAUCUAACUAAACUGCAAAGGAAUUGUGUAACGAGAUUCAAAAUAUGGUGUAAAGUCUAAAAUUCAUCAGUCAAGUGAAAUGAGUAUAAAAAGGUUAAGUGCAAAGACUGACGUAUCGUUAUCCGCUAACCAAUAACUUGAAAAGUAUCCGCCAAGGUUUAAGAAGGAUUCCAAACCCUUAGGUCGAAGACUUCUACAACACUUUUUAAAGGAAAUAAUGAGUGAGACCCACUAAGUUCCUUUGUACUUGUAUGCAUCUUUUAGUAUGCAAGUCUGAUAAUUGAACUAGUGCACGAGGAAUGACCAAGCCAAUGAUGUGCCAUGGUGGUAGAUCGAGGGCAAUAUUAUGCAUACAGAUGGACAUUCUUAGAAAUAUGUUUGUCAAAUGACAACUAGUAAUACACACUACGAAUAUGUAUGUUAAAUCAAACAUUUAUGUUGUAAAGUUUUAUACUACCUUUGAAAGUCUGUGACAAACGAUGUAUGUUUUAUUCAAACUUAUUAUCUUAGAAAGUUUUAUACCCAUGUCUCUCGGCCGUGUGUGACACACUGCCUGGCCAUAUAGGUGUGUGUCCCCUACACCUUUGAAAAAUUUCAAUAUUUUUCGAAAAAUUCUUUAAGUAUCCGGUUUAGACCCGACUUAUUUUUAAUGUUUAUUUUGGGCCUCGAGGGCUCGUAUUAGGGAUGAGAUGAUGGAAGUUAAUUGGUUUUUGACUUGGAUGUGAUAUGAAAUGAAAUGUCUGUUUGUUUGGUCUGUAAGUCAGGUAAUGCUCCGUAACCUUGUUUCGGCAUCGAAUACGGUUAGAGGUGCUACAUGGAAGAUAUGGAAUAGGUACCAAAAUGUACAUUUUGCCAAAAACAGGGGCCAUGUCUAUGUCUCGACGACCAACAUCCCUCGUCACAACGUCGACUGACGAUAAGUGACACUGCAAUGUUAAAUUGCAUGAAGUCAUGACAUGACUUACUAUAUUGGUGAUGUCACGGCGUGGAAGUCAUAUAAUUGUAAUGUCAAUCCUGAAUUUUUAAAAUUUUGCAAUUUGGUCCUAUUUCAUACUCAGGUUAACAAAAGAGCUUUCAUAAGCUCAUAUAAGACCCAAAAAUGAUUAUUUAACAUAAAUUAAAUGUGAUUGAUGUUUAAUUGCAUGUGUGAAUGAUUAAGUACUACCUAAUUGAUUGUUGUUAUUCCGGUAACAAAUGUAGCAUUCCGUAACUCAGACCCGGUGAUCGGGUUGAGUGAGGGGUAUUACACAAGGUAUGAUAAGUCAAACAAGAUAACAAAUGGCUUAACAUAAACUCAAGUAACUUAAGGAUCAAAGUGAGAAAUAAAUAUUAGUUUUUCCUUCCCCAAUAUUCACUUAAUUUCAUUUUCAACUCAACCCUUUUUGUCUCACCCCUCGUAUAUCUCCAACAUUCAAUAAUAAAACAUAUAAGUAAAAGUAAUACCAAGACAAUGAAAUAAAAGUCACUAGCACUUUUUUUUAAGAAACAAAAAGAAUAUGUUUUAUCUUCUCUCCUCAAUUCAUUCACCAUAAUACUCAUUCUAUUUUUAAGCUCAAAAUAAUGAUAUUUGUCGAAACCAUCUUUUAUUUUGAAAAAAAAUCUGAAGGGAUCGACUUUGAAAAUAAAAAUGGGAGUCGCCACCGAUCUUUUAUUGGGGUGUGAUCGGAUCACCUUGAAAACAAUUUUAGGUCUACGAAUUUUGAGAAAACAGGUUUGGGAGUCGGUUACACACGAGGAAGGGUUAGCACCCUCGCAACGCAAAAAAAUUGGUACCGAAUUGAUUGCUUAAUAUCUUAGUUUUGAAAAUUUGAAAAGAUUUUAAAAUACGAUCCUUUGAAAAGAAAACUUGAAAAAUUGAAUUGGAUGAUAAGACAUACCCAUUUCAAAGAAAUAAAUUGUCACACCCAGUGAGUUAGGGUGCAACAGUCCAAUCUUCGAAAUUAAGUUUGUCUUUUUUAAAUUUAAAAUUCAUGCCUUUUUAGAAGGAUAUUUGGUUAUUUGGGUCAAACGAGAAAUCAGAAUUCAGUAAGUUAGCGUUCAAUUUCUCGAAAUUCCUAAACAUCGAAUAUUGUCUUUAUUUUAAAAUCCUUAACUCGAGAUAACAAAAUGUCAUAUUCAGUGAGUUAGGAUUCAACAUUUUGAAAUCCCGAAAAAUUUUAUUUAGAAUUUGUAUGGUUUUAUUGCAAAAGAAAUACUUCGCUGUCUAAAUUCAUCAAAAGAAAUCAAAGCCCAGUAAGUUAAGGCACAAUCCUCUCGAGAAUUGCAAAUACCAAGUAUUUUGACAAUUUACGACAUAAGAUGAUUUUAAUGAUUUUAAUGAAACACAAUUUUUUUUUAAAAUGUAGUGUGAUUAAGCGGCAACGAACCAUGCAAAAUUCGAAUAUAACAUGCACACCAAUGAGUAAUGAACAAUAAAUAAACAUAACCUAGUAUAACAAUAAUUUCAAUCAUACAUUAUGCAAAUAUCAACAUCAACAUUUAAAAAUUAUUAAUCUAAAGAAAAAUAAAAUGCAACUCAUAAAAAACAAAAAUGAGAGAAAAGAAAUUUGGAAUUAAAAAAUAUGUACACAAAAUUUUAAAUUUACAAAAAAAAUAAAAAAAUUAGUAAUUAAUAUGAAGAUUUGAAAUAAUUUAAUAAUAGAACUAAAAAUGAAUAAAAUGUUUAGAUAAAUUUUAAAGAAAGAAUUAUGAGAAGAAAAUAAAAAUGAAUAAAUCUUGAAAUUAAUAUAUAUAUUUUAAUCUAGAUAAGUAAAACCUAAUGUAAAUAAUAAUGUACAUAUAGUAAUAAUAAAUAUAAUAAUAAUAAUAAUAAACCAAUUAAUUUAAUAGUAAAAAAACAAAACAAAACAAUAGAUUAAUUUAGAACUAAAACAAACUCUCAGGGAUGAAUUUGAAACAAAUGUGUAAACGACCAAAUUAAGAAUUGUUUAACAUCAGAGGGACUAUUGCAGCAAUUAAACGCACAAAUCCUCUCUAGCAUACAGAUCAAUCCUUCCAAAGCGGCGUCGUUCUAUUAUGUAUUCAAUUGGAACCAAAACCAAAUAUAAUGUAUAAAUUAAAAUAAUGAUAAAAAUUGAAUUAAAAAUAUAAAAAAUACAGAAGGACCUGUUGCGCAAAUGGACCAUUGAGACAAAACGCGCAGAUCCUUCCCUCGGAUCGAGUCACCAUGCGGGUCUGAGCUCAUUACGACGCCAUUUUGAGGUCACCUCAAUCAGCCUCAAACGACACUGUUUCUCAACGUAUAUAAAUGCCACAUUAAACCCUAAUUAGUAACUUUUAUCAUUUUUAAAACAAAAAUUUAAAAAAAGGAACCCUAGGCCCUUUUCCUUCUGCCGUAAAACUAUUUCACCCCCUCUCAGACUUCGAUUUCGACGAAGCGAGUGAGGUUCGGCGUCCAGGUAAGCUUUCUAACCCCUUCUCUAUUACUGCGUUUGAAUAAAAAUAAAGACGAAAUAAAAAAAUAAAGAAAAGCAAAGAGUUUAUUCACCUUUCGAUUUUUUUCGUUUUCUCUAUUUUUUAUUUUUUUGUAUUCAAUAUCCGUGUGUAAUCCUUUUACAGUUUCUGAGACAGCCUUUUAUAGCUGAAAACUAAAAAUAAAAAAUCAAGAAAAUUUACAGAAUCUUCUUUUUUUUUCUAUCAUUUUCUGUUAUUUUCUUUGUUACUGCUUUUUGCUUGCUUGUUGCACAGGUACGACCAGCUUGGAGGGAACGCGCGUGGAUCUGGUGUGCGAGGAGUUGAAGGCGCGUGCAUGUGCUUGGAUGCUAGAGCUGCUGACUGCUGUGACGCCAGAAGGAUCUAGAAACCCUAGGGGUUUCUGGAAAAAUUUGGGCCGUUUGAGCUAUUAUAGCUUGGUCAAAUUGAGUUAAUUUUGGGUAGUUUAGGUUAGAAUGACUUGGGUUAUGUAUUUGGUAUUUUUAAUUUCGGUUUGGGCUGAUUGGGUCGUGAGUUUGUAAAUGGACAUUUAUUUAAUUGAAUUUUUAGUUUAAUUUUAAUAUUUGUAAAAAAACUAGGCUGUUAAUAGUGGAUAUUUUAAUUUAAUUUAUUUGUUUUUCUUUUUUUUUGGUAUUUAUUGGGUCGGGCAAAAUGUGUUAUUAUAGCUGCCCCUCUUUGCUCAUUGUCGUAAAACAGGAAUGAAGCAAAGACUUUAAAAAUGACUAAUUUUACCCAGUUAUACUGGACCUUGGUACUUAUUUUCUUCACGUAGCCUCAUUCCAUCCUACUACAUCUUCAGAGUCAUAGGAAUUGAUGCCUCGAUCCACUCAUUGCGACGUCAAGGAGAUAGGAUUAUUGGCUUUAAUUUGCUCCACUGCAACCUCUGGGAGAUAAGAUUUGCCAUCUUCAGUCUACCCCACUACCACUCAGGGAGAUAAAGCUAGUGGCUUAAAUCUACUUCCCUACUACCUUGGAAAGAUAAGAUUCGCCGUCUUCGAUUUGCUCCACUACUGUCCAGGGAGAUAGGACUUACAAUCUUCAACCUAUUCCACUGCUAUCUAGGGAGAUAGGACUGGUAUCUUCGAUCUGCUUCGCCGUCAGUACAGGAAUGCAAGAUCUGUUAUUUUCAACCUACUCCACUGCUGCUCAAGGAGACAAGGCUGGGGACUUCCACCUGCUCCAGUACUACUUAGGGAGAUAAGAUCUGUAAUUUUUAACCUACUCCACUGCUGCUGAGGGAGACAAGGCUGGGGUCUUCGAUCUACUUCGCUGCCAAUACAAGAAGACAAGAUCUGCUAUUUUCAACCUACUCCACUGCUGCUCAAGGAGACAAGGCUGGGGACUUCGAUCUGCUCCACUACUGCUUUGGGAGAUAAGAUAUGUAAUUUUUAACCUACUCCACUGCUGCUCAAAGAGAUAGGAUUCAUAAUCUUCAACCUAUUCCACUGCUGUCCAGGGAGAUAGGACUCACAAUUUUCAACCUAUUCCACUGCUGUCCAUGGAGAUAGGAUUCACAAUCUUCGACCUAUUCCAUUGUUGUCCAAUGAGAUAGGAUUCACAAUCUUCAACCUAUUUCACUACUGUCUAGAGAGAUAGGAUUUAUAACUUCACCGAUCUGUUCUCUAAGAAACAUGACUUGUAUAAUUCAUUUUAUGAACCUAAUUAUGCCUAGUGAUUAGGAUGUCAUGAUCAAAAUAAAUCAAAUUCUCCUAACUAGACGUGUAUGAAUGGUGUUUGCAUGAAUGUAGAAUGCUAUUUUUUUAGAAUGAUCCUUCUUUAUCACUUAGGUUAUCAUUGCUCGAAGUUUAUUAAGGCUUUAUCACUAACGUGCUACAACGCCUUCUUGCUCGGUUGGGGUUUUCAAAGAAACACUUAGUCAGAUUUCCCCCACUGUGAACCUUAAAGUUCAAUCCACUGAGACGCAAAAUUUGUACCAUCAUUCUCCCACUGUAACCCAAGGGUAGAAAUAUAUGGCUUUUCCUCAAUCAUCUCCUAUCACAAUUCAAGGAUACCUUACACCAUUCCCAGGGUGUCGUACCAAAGGAUCAUGCACAAAUGAAAGCUUUCUUCUCCGAGGAAACCUCUUCCUAUUGCCUGGUGAUCAUUGCUUGCUUGUUUAUUUAAGUUUUUUCAUCAACACGACAUCUUGUCAUUUUGUUCAAUCAAUAUUUUUGACAGCAAAAUCUAAAGAGAAAGUCCUAAUUUAGGCUCUUCCUUUUCAGAUUUUCAACCUUUAAACUUGGUGCGUUCUAAACAAUAGUCCUGUUUCAGACUCCUGUAUUAUUUAGAAACUUCUAGAGUAAUAUGCAAAACUUCCAUUGUGAAAGUUUUAUUAGUCCAUUAAUCAUUAUUCCAAUGCAACAUACUUGCAAAAAAGGUCAUAACAAUGGAUAAGAAUAAAGUUGGUUCUGAGCAUAACUCGAAAGGAAUAAAUUAUCAAAAAUAUCAAAAAAUUGAUUGGGAAUGUGUAUAUUGGAAAAGAAUGAAGUAUUUCAAGAACAACAAAAUCAAAAUAAAUAGUUUGAAAAUUGAGUGCCCCAAAUAUCGCAGCUUGAACUUCUCUAUACAAACUUUCUUAAGACCAUUCUGAGUUUGACAUGUGUUUAGGAGAUCUAUAGUGCUUUGUCGAUGCCCCAAGAUGUCGCUUACCCUUUCAUGUUGAUUGAAAAUCAAAUUUUCAAUUUUCGACAAUAAAACAGAAAACAAUCAAUUUUGCGGCUUGACUCUCUAAAUUCCCCAGCGGAGUCGCCAAGCUGUCGAAACCAUCUUUUAUUUUGAAAAAAAUCUGAAAGGAUCGACUUUGAAAAUAAAAAUGGGAGUCACCACCGAUCUUUUAUUGGGGUGUGAUUGGAUCACCUUGAAAACGAUUUUAGGUCUACGAAUUUUGAGAAAACAGGUUCGAGAGUCGGUUACGCACGAGGAAGGGUUAGCACCCUCGCAACGCCAAAAAAUUGGUACCAAAUUGAUUGCUUAAUGUUUUAAUGUUGAAAAUUUGAAAAGAUUUUAAAAUACGAUCCUUUGAAAAUAAAACUUGAAUAAUCGAAUUGGAUGAUAAGACAUACCCAUUUCAAAGAAAUAAAUUGUCACACUCAGUGAGUUAGGGUGCAACAGUCCAAUCUCCAAAAUUAAGUUUAUCUUUUUAAAAUUUAAAAUUCAUGUAUUUUUAGAAGGAUAUUUGAUUAUUUGGGUCAAAUGAGAAAUUAGAAUCCAGUAAGUUAGGGUUUAGUUUCUCGAAAUUCCUAAACACCAAAUAUUGUCUUUAUUUUAAAAUCCUUAACUCGAGAUAACAAAAUGUUAUAUCCAGUGAGUUAGGAUUCAACAUUUUGAAAUCCCAAAAAAAUUCAUUUAGAAUUUGUAUGGUUUUAUUGCAAAAGAAAUACUUGGCUAUCUAAAUUCAUCAAAAAAAUUAAAGCCCAGUAAGUUAGAGCACAAUCCUCUUGAGAAUUGCAAAUACCGAGUAUUUUGACAAUUUACGAAAUAAGAUGAUUUUAAUGAAACACGAUUUCUUUUAAAAAUGUAGUGUGAUUAAGCGGCAACGAACCAUGCAAAAUUCGAAUAUAACAUGCACACCAAUGAGUAAUGAACAAUAAAUAAACAUAACCUAGUAUAACAAUAAUUUCAAUCGUACAUUAUGCAAAUAUCAACAUCAACAUUUAAAAAUUAUUAAUCUAAAGAAAAAUAAAAUGUAACUCAUAAAAAACAAAAAUGAGAGAAAAGAAAUUUGGAAUUAAAAAAAAUAUGUACACAAAUUUUAAAUUUACAAAAAAAUAAAAAAAUUAGUAAUUAAUGUGAAGGUUUGAAAUAAUUUAAUAAUAGAACUAAAAAUGAAUAAAAUGUUUAGAUAAAUUUUAAAGAAAGAAUUAUGAGAAGAAAAUAAAAAUGAAUAAAUCUUUAAAUUAAUAUAUAUAUAUUAAUCUAGAUAAGUCAAACCUAAUGUAAAUAAUAAUGUACAUAUAAUAAUAAUAAAUAUAAUAAUAAUAAUAAUAAACCAAUUAAUUUAAUAGUAAAAAAAACUAUAGAUUAAUUUAGAACUAAAACAAAAUCUCAGGGACGAAUUUGAAACAAAUGUGUAAACGACCAAAUUAAGAAUUGUUUAACAUCAGAGGGACUAUUGCAGCAAUUAAACGCACAAAUCCUCUCUGGCGUACAGAUCAAUCCUUCCUAAGCGGCGUUGUUCUAUUAUGUAUUCAAUUGGAACCAAAACCAAAUAUAAUGUAUAAAUUAAAAUAAUGAUAAAAAAAUGAAUUAAAACUAUAUAAAAUACAGAAGGUCCUUUUGCUCAAAUGGACCAUUGAGACAAAGCGCGCAGAUCCUUCCCUCGGAUUGGGUCACUGCGCGGGUCUGAGCUCAUUACGACACCGUUUUGAGGUCACCUCAAUUAGCCUCAAACAACACCGUUUCUCAACGUAUAUAAAUGCCACAUUAAACCCUAAUUAGUAACUUUUAUCAUUUUUAAAACAAAAAUUAAAAAAAAGAACCCUAGGCCCUUUUCCUUCUGCCGCAAAACUAUUUCACCCCCUCUCAGACUUCGAUUUCGACGAAGCGAGUAAGGUCUGGCGUCCAGGUAAGCUUUCUAACCCAUUCUCUAUUACUGCGUUUGAAUAAAAAAGAGACGAAAUAAAAAAAAUAAAGAAAAGCAAAGAGUUUAUUCACCUUUCGAAUUUUUUUGUUUUCUCUGAUUUUUUUUUGUUUUUUUUUUGUAUUCAAUAUCCGUGUGUAAUCCUUUUACAGUUUCUGAGACGGCCUUUUAUAGCCGAAAACUAAAAAUAAAAAAUCAAUAAAAUUUACAGAAUUCUCUUUUUUUUUUCUAUCAUUUUUUGUUAUUUUCUUUGUUACUGCUUGUUGCUUGUUUAUUGCACAGGUGCGACCAGCCUGGAGGGAAUGCGCGUAGAUCUGGUGUGCGAGGAGUUGAAGGCGCGUGCAUGUGCUUGGAUGCUAGAUCUGCUGACUGUUGCGGCGCCAGAAGGAUCUAGAAACCCUAGGGGUUUUUGGAAAAAUUUGGGCCGUUUGGGCCAUUAUAGCUGGGUCAAAUUAGGUUAAUUUUGGGUAGUUUAGGUUAGAAUGACUUAGGUUAUGUAUUUGGUAUUUGUAAUUUAGGUUUUGGCUGAUUGGGCUGUGAGUUUGUAAAUGGACAUUUAUUUAAUUGAAUUUUUGGUUUAAUUUUAAUAUUUGUAAAAAACUAAGCUGUUAAUAGUGGAUAUUUUAAUUUAAUUUAUUUAAUUUUCUUUUUUUUGGUAUUUAUUGGGCCGGGCAAAAUGGGUUAUUACAAUAUUAAUCAUCUAAAAUAAAUGUGAGUUAAGUUGAAGUUUUAAGCUCAAUUCACGAGGAAUAAGCAACCAAUUAAUAUGAGUAAACAAGAAAAAAAAAUACUUUCAAGAGUUAAUUAUAUUUUUUUUAAAUUUUAGGAAUAUUUUAGAAUUUAAAUUAUAAUUUGAGGAUGUGUAUUGAAAUUAAUCCAAAAAAAAAAAAGAGAAUAACUUGGAGCAAACCCCAAUCUAGCAAUCUAGUGUGUGGUAAUAGAUGGCGCAAACUAUUGAGUGGCGAAGAAGCAUCCAUAAAUAGUAACCUCAAAGAUAAAUCAAGACUCAGGAAUUGCAAUCAAUCGACAUCUGCCACGUGUAUACAUGAUCCAACUUCAUUGUGUGGCCUUCAACGAAUGAGAAAAUUUUAAGACCAAAAAUGAAAAUUCCUUGAUUUUGGUACACAAAAAAAUCAUAAGCUUAUCCCCUAUAAAUGUUGCUCCCCCACCCACAGUGACUUAAGCUCCUCAAAGCCCACACUCUCAAAUUCAGUUAACAAUUUCACAGUUGUUUUCUUCAGUCUCUCUCUCAGCCAUGGCUGCAGCCAUCUCCACCGUCGCUGCCGCUGCCGCCGCCAACCGAGCUCUGGGAGUGUCAGUCCCAACCUCAGCUUUCAUGGGGAAGAAAGUGAGCUCAAGAUUCAACAGCACCAGGCAGGUUCCUUCGGGAAGUUUUAAGGUGAUGGCGGCUGAGAAAGAGAUAGACGAAGAGACACAGACCGAAAAGGACCGAUGGAAAGGGUUGGCUUACGAUAUUUCGGACGACCAACAGGACAUUACUCGAGGGAAAGGGAUGGUGGAUUCCUUGUUCCAAGCUCCCAUGAAUGAUGGAACUCACUAUGCUGUCAUGAGUUCCUAUGAAUACCUCAGCCAAGGUCUUAAAACGUAAGUACUCUCCCACUCUCCUAUACCGGAGCGUUAUCGAUUACCAUCUACCUCUUAUAUGAUGAUUAUAUAUAAUUUUAGGUACAAUUUGGACAACAACAUGGAUGGUUUCUACAUUGCUCCUGCAUUCAUGGACAAGCUUGUUGUUCACAUCACCAAGAACUUCAUGUCCCUCCCUAACAUUAAGGUUCCUCUAAUCUUGGGUAUUUGGGGAGGCAAAGGUCAAGGAAAAUCUUUCCAAUGUGAGCUUGUGUUUGCCAAGAUGGGUAUCAAGUGAGUUCCUGAUUUUCUUAUGUUACUCUUUUUUUUUUUGAAGUAUUCUUAUUUUCUCGGUAUUUAAAUUUAGAUACGAGUAAUGUUUCUUCAAAUACAUGAAAAAGAAUUACAUAUAUUAAAUUAAAUUUAUUGAAUUAUUUUGAUAAUUAUGUUGAGUUUGGAUAAAAAUUUUGUCGAUUUAAUAAGGGAAGUCAUAAAUAUUGUUCCUUUAAGAAAAACAAAUAUUUUUAUUUUAAUAUAGUUAUAAAUAUAUUAAAGUAAUUAUAUUUUUUAAUAUUGUUUACAAAUGAAUCUAUAUUAUAUAUUAAGUUUUUAAUUGAGAUGUCACGAAUUAAUCAAAUACCAACUCGAGUAAUAACUAAAAUAUUACUAGUUUACAAAAUGAAUUAUAUUAUUUUGAGGAUGUAUGUAUCCUUUCAUAUCUUUUAUAUAAAAAUAGAAAAAUAUGGAUUUAAAUUUAAAAUAUUAUAGUUUUCAAUAAAUUUGCUUAGGUCUAAUUUUGCUAUUAAACCUGACGUAAGUUGUGGAUUUAGUACAUGUACUUUAAUUUGGUUAUUUUUAGUCUUUUUAUUUUUAGGAUUUGAAAAUUUUAGUCAUAACUAAAUGAUAACUAUUAAAUUCAUUAAGUUAAAUUUUGUUAUUUUUAAAUUUUAAUUUGUCAAAUAUAUUAUCACAUGCGUAAUGUUAUGUUUAUUAUUUUCACAUAUUACUCACAAAAAAAAUCAAUUAAUAGAUUUAAUGGUUGUUGUCUGCAUUAAAUCUAAAAUUUUAAAUUUAAAAAAAUAUAGUCACUAAGAAUAAUCUAAUUGGUGAAUUGGACAAAAUUUUAGGCAUAAUACAGGACUAAUUAUAUAAUUUAACCAAAUAGAUUUAACUAUUGUUGUUGGGUUAGGAUUAAAAUUUUAAAACUUGAAAAGUAUAAUGGACUAAAAUUGAUCAAAUUAAAUUACAUGUAUUAAAUCCAUAAUUUAUACAAAAUACAAAGUCUAAUAACAAGAUUUGUCCAUUUUUCUUAUCAUUUCAUCUAAAAACUCGUUUAUCCUUUAUAUCAAUUUAUUAUAAAUAAAAUUAUUACAUAAAUGUGUUUUUAUUCAACAAAUAUGCUGUGAUAACUGAUAAAUUACAAACAAUGAAUAACUUCCAGCCCCAUCAUGAUGAGUGCCGGAGAACUGGAAAGUGGAAACGCCGGUGAACCAGCCAAGUUGAUCAGGCAAAGGUACCGUGAAGCUGCCGACAUAAUCAAAAAGGGCAAAAUGUGCGCCCUCUUCAUUAACGAUCUCGAUGCUGGUGCCGGUCGUAUGGGAGGAACCACCCAAUACACCGUCAACAACCAGAUGGUUAAUGCUACCCUCAUGAACAUCGCCGAUAACCCCACCAACGUCCAGCUCCCCGGUAUGUACAACAAGGAAGAGAACCCCCGUGUCCCCAUUAUCGUCACUGGUAACGAUUUCUCCACACUGUAUGCUCCUCUCAUCCGUGACGGUCGUAUGGAGAAAUUUUACUGGGCACCAACUAGGGACGACCGUGUCGGUGUUUGCAAAGGUAUUUUCAGGACCGACGGCAUCCCAGAUGAAGACAUUGUUAAGCUCGUCGACACCUUCCCCGGCCAAUCCAUCGGUAACUCUCAUUAAUUUUUUUCACUAGGUUUAAUUAUUCUUACAGUCCCUAUACGCUUCACAAUUUGAAAUUUAGUCCUCCACUACUUACUUGAAAAUAUGUUAUUACGUGGGUUCAUUGUUUUCAGUGGCGGAACUACGUUAGAGCCAGAGGAGAUCCUGGCCACCAAAAUUUUGAAUUUUUUUUAUUAAAUCCUUCAAAAAUUUUAAAAAUUUUAAUCAAGUUUUUCUUAAAGUUUUGAAAGUUUUAAAUAAACCCCAAAACUCAAUGACACGUUCUGUCACUGUUUCAAGUACGGAUCAUUCGAUUGAUAUAUUACGAUUAACAAUUGUUUUUCUUUUUGGAUUGAUAAAUUGUAGAUUUCUUCGGUGCCUUGAGGGCUCGGGUUUACGAUGACGAAGUGAGGAAAUGGAUCAGUGAUGUCGGAGUUGCAGGCGUAGGGAAGAAGUUAGUGAACUCAAGGGACGGACCUCCAACAUUUGAGCAACCGAAAAUGACCAUUGAAAAGCUAUUGGAAUAUGGAAACAUGCUUGUUGCUGAGCAAGAGAAUGUUAAGAGAGUCCAAUUGGCUGACAAAUACUUGAGUGAAGCUGCCCUUGGUGAAGCUAAUGAAGAUUCUAUCAACAGAGGAACUUUCUAUGGUUAGAUAGAUUACCCCCUUUCAUCUUUUCUCUUAAAUCAAAUUCGGGUUUUUUAAAAUCGACCCGAACUCGAAUUUCUUUUUACAAUUUGAUCCUAGUGACAAAGAAUGUUGUGUUUGUUGGCAGGCAAAGCAGCACAACAAGUUGGGGUUCCAGUUCCCGAAGGAUGCACUGAUCCAAAUGCUGAUAACUUUGAUCCAACGGCUAGAAGUGAUGAUGGAACUUGCACUUACCAAUUUUAACCUUGUAUUAUAGUAGUAUUGGGUUGAAAAAGAAAACCCUUUUUCUAUUUUAUGUAAUGAUGUGAGAUUGUUCCAAAACUAUCGUUUGCCUUUUGUUGUUCCAAUUAUAUGAUUUUGCUUUCUCAAUUCUUAAUAUUUUCUCUUUAUAUGAUUUUGCUCUUUUUUUCCUCAAUUCUUGUAUCUUCAAAUUUCACCUUUCCGGAUUUAAUUAAAGUUCUAUUAAAUCUUUCUUUACUAAAAAAAAAUGCAUGAUAUAUGUUAUAUUAAAAUAUAUUUAAUUUUGUUUUAACUUAAAUAGAGUGGUGGUUAAAGUUCUUAUCAAACACUUGUUUGGCACUAAUUCGAACGGUUUGUGUUACUCUUUUCCCGUACCCCUAUUGUAUCACCAAAAAUACUUAUUAUCUUAUACUUAAAAGUAGUUUAAUCUACUCUACAAGUUUUUGUUAACCACGCCAUUAUUAUUCAAUGCAUGUUUAAUGAUUUAGAUAAUUGGAUCUUUUAUGAUUAAACAAAUGAAAAGAGAAUCAAAAAGUGCUUAGAUAUCUUAUGAUUUCGAUAAAGCUUUUACGAUUUAUUAAGAUCCUCUUCUUAGUUGUAUCAAAGUUUGCUAUUAAACUAUUAGUAUGAUUAUGUUUUAGUACUCAACUUUAAAAAGUUACAAAAUAAUUAUUGAAUCAUUCGAAAUUUUUUAUUUAAGUCACUAGACUAUUAAAAUCGUUGUUGUAUAGUCUUCUCAAUUUACAACACCUAUUCUCUUCUAUAGUUCAGUUUAUUAAUGAAACAACUUUGAAUGUCACGAAUUUGCGAAUUGAAAUCCAAGCAACUUUUUUCUAUGAUCUUUAAUACUAACUGUCAGAUCUACCUCAAUCUAAGGUAUGUUCUUCUACUUAUUGAUUGGUACUGAUCUACCAUAUCGAUCGUUGAAUCGUUGCUUAAACUCAUUAGUCAAACUUUUUUUAUUAAAAAAAAGGUAAUAACUCAAUAACUUAAGUAAAAACUUUCAAAUAAUUCAUUAUUAUUUUGUAACUUUUUUUAAAAUUGAGUCAACAAAACAUAAAAUUCCUAAUAAUAAUAGAAUGGCAUUGGAUAUAAUUUAACUUAAAAAAAGUUUUUUUUUUAAAUGGUAAAACCGAAACCUCAGAUGGAGAUGAACAAGAAAAAGCCCAAAAAAGAAAUCUAUGGGCUCUACUGAAGAAAACCGUAAACCUAGCUCAAAUCCAUUAUAAAUACAUGAAAGUUCCCAUUAAUAAAUUUCUCAAUCGAAAAACCCUAAUCGCCUCCCUCAAAAAACCCCUUAUCUUCCCUUCUCAACAAUCCAAAAAAACAACAAAUCUCUGCAAUUUCAAAAGCCGUCCUUCUGUUAAAAUUCCCCUUAGAUUUCGUUUACGAAAGCUAAUUUUCCGAGGAUCCAAACAAAGGGCGGUGAUUAAAAGGAGAGAGGCUUGAGUGGGAUCAUUAAAAAAAGAAAAAAAUAUCGAAGAUGCCGCCUUCCUUCCAAGGCUUUGGUGUCUCGCUUUUUUUUUCUCUCUUUUUUUUCUGCCCAUUUCAAAUCUGGGUUUUUACCCCACAAUGACUUGAAAAUCCUAAAUUUACACUUGAUAUGAGCCCUAAUUUGUUUUCUUUUUGUAAUUUUUUAUAAUAUAUUUGCAUUUGUUGUAUUUUUAGGAAAUAAAGCAAUUAUUUUUAAGGCUUUGUUUCUUCAACAACAGUGCAGAAAUUAAAGGUUUAAUUUUUUUUAUAUUUCUUUUUUGAAAAGAAAAGAAAGAAGAGAAAUUAAGCAGCGGCCAGACAACCGUAGGGAUGGUAUCCACAGAUGAAGGGUUUUUAAUCCCUUUUUGUCUACUGAUUCCAUCUCACAUUUCUGUUUUUAAUUGUUUGUUUUAUAUUUUAUAUUGAUUAUGUUUUUAUACAAAUUUUACAAAAGAAAAUUUGUAUAAUCUUACAUCCUCUUAUUAAUGUGAGAUUUUUAAAAAAAUAAUUUUGCUUUUAUUUUUGUUCAUUUUAUUCAAACGAUAAUGAAAUAAUAAUUAAUGAAUCAAAAUUCAGAAGAAAAAUUAACCUCUUUGUCUAUUAUGUUACAUUUUUCCAUUAGAUUUUGUCCAAAAUGUCACUUUUAUAAUAAUUUUAUUGUUCAUUUUAUUAUCAUUUACGUCAAUUUCAGGAUUUUUUAUAAAAUUAUUAUAAAAAAAUAAAAAAAAAUAACUAAAACUUUUUUAUUUAUCAAAAUAUUAUAAAUUUUUUUAUUUACCAAAAUAUAUCAAAAAAACAAAAAAAAACUGACAACAGUCUGAUCAGUCCAAAGAGAUUGGCGGCACCAAAGGUGCGCCAAAGAGAUUGGUGGCAUCAAUAGUGUCAAAUGACUAAAAUGUAACUUUCUGUAAUUUUAAGGACCUGACAUGUAAAUUUAUUAUUUUAAAUUUUGAAAGUGAAUUGUUGCUGAUGUACGCACUAAAAUUGAAAUAUGGCUAAUUGUCUUCUAAGCUCUCUUUAUUUAUUAUUAUUUAUUAUUCUCCUCCAACUCAUUUUUUAUUUAAUAAACAAGUCCUCAAUUUAUUUUUGUAAUUAAAUAAGCUCUUAAUCUAUGAUUUUUAUUCAUAAAAGCCAUUUAUUUUAUUAUUAAAAUAAAUAUAUUUUACCUAAAGUAAAGCUAUUUAAAAAAGUAUAAACUAAUUCGCAUUUUAUGUAUUAUUUUGGUAAUUUGAUAAGAAUAGUUUAUUUAAAAAAUUUACUAAAUUUGAUGAGAAUAGUUUAUAAUUAUAAUUUAUUUUUUCUAUUUGGAUUAUAUUUAUAGGUGAUCAGUUUUAUUAUUACUUCUGGUUUUUCAAUAAAGCAUGCUUGGUAUUUCUAUUAAUCUUUUUAAUUAAAUUUAAUAUUAGUUAAGUGAUAAUUAAGAUACUUAGAAUUCUAAUUAGCUAUUCUCAUUUAAUAACUCUAUUUUAAUUUUAAAAAAUUAAAUUAAAUUAAAAUAGUUUACUUAAUUUUAUUAAAUUAAAAUAGAGUUAUUAAAUGAGAAUAGUUUAUUAAAUUAAAAUAGAGUUAUUAAUGCCUACGAGGACGCGAUUUGCUGACACGUCCCCUAACAUCGCGCUGACAUGGACGCAAUUUCGGGAAAAAUGGCUCAUUCCGGUAAAUAAUAAAAUAUCAGACCCAUUUCGGUAAAUUUUAAAAAAAUAGGGCUUUUUUUUGGUAUUUUACCCAAAAUUUUUAACUAGUUAAUUUAUAUAAAAAUGUAAUUGUUUAAUAAAUAUAUAAUAUUUAGAUUAAUAUGUUAAAAAUAUUAGAUUGGUUUGAAUAUUUAUUUGCAUGGUAAUUAUAAUUAUAUCAAUAAGUUUGAUGCUUAAAUUGUUAAAAAUAUAGUAUUUUAAUUUUACAUUCAUAUGAAUAAGAUCCUGAAAAAAAAAAGAACUUACUCUUUAGUAAAUAAAUAAAUAUUUCUUAUUUCUUUUAUUUGUCAUUUUAAUGAAAGAAAAAACCUUUGGGUACGUUUGGUUUACUGUAAUGGAAUAGGGCUGUAAUGGAAUAGAGCUCUAAUCAGUAAUUCAAUUGUUUGGUUGAAUGGAAUGAAAUAGAGUUGUAAUAGUAUUCUUGUGUUUGGUUGAAUGGAAUGGUGUUGUAAUAGCAUAAAAAAAAACUAAAAUGACUAGAAUACCCUUAACAGAAUUUUUUUUAAGUAAAUGAUUAUUAUUAGUGUUAUUAAAUUUUAAUAAGAUUAUUAUUAAAAAUAAUUUAAUAAAAAUAAUAAAUAAUUUAAGCAUAUUUAAACAUAAUUAUUAUUAAAUAUAAUUUAAUAAAAUAAUAUAUAAUUUAAUAAAAUUCUUAAUAUAAUUAUUAUAUGAAUUUACUAAAAUCAUAAUAUAUAAUACUAUAAAAAUAGUAUAUAAUCUACUUUAUUAUUUUUAAACUACAAUACAUAUUUAAUGUGCUAAAAUAUCAUUAGCGAAACAAAUAAUUUAAUUAUUCUACAAUAAAAAACAAAAUAUUAAAAGUAAUAAAUAACUUGAGAAUCAUAUUUUACAUCCAAACAUAAUAUUCAUAUAUUAACAAAAAGUUAAAUGAUUUUAUUAGUUUAUAUGUCAUAAUCCAUAUGUUAUAAAAUUUUACAACACUAGAUUACCUUCAUGUCAAAGCAUUGACUGGAUGAGGUUUCAACUGCCCACCAUGUAUAUAUUGUUCUUUUCAUACAUCUAGCUCAUCUUUACAGAAAUUGUACGAUAGGAUACCUAAAGUUAAUUAGAAAAUGGUGUCAUCACCACCACCGCCAUCAAGAGUAGUUAGAUUUGUCGUAGUGCCCCCUAGUGCUUCUGCUAGUGACACCCUUUUGUUGACAAUAAGAUCAUUUCCAUCUCUUUUGUAAAGAUUAUAGGGCUUCUCAUCAAUUACAAAUACAAGGUCUGCUGGAAGCUGAUUUUGCUACUUACUUCCUUUAUUUGGGAAAAUAAUUUUUGUUCCUUUCUUCCACCCUGGCUUCACAUCAAUGGUUAAUAUUUCCGAUUCCUGUGCUUGCCCCCUGUAAGGAUCCAAAGUAUUGUCCCAUCAGCAAGAUCAAAAAUAUAAAGCUACCAAUAAUGAUGCCAUCAUCACAACAGUGUAAUUAAGGUGAGAAUAUCUCAGUUGAGUUCAUAGUUUUCAGCAUGAAAACAAUAUGCAAGCAUAGAAAACACAAUAUCAAAUAUGGUGUUAGUUACCUGAGAAAUGUUUUUGUGGUUUAAACUGACAACUGAAAAUACAAGAAGUUUAGAACUUGCUCUCCGUUUUCAGCACCUAUCAUGCAAUUAGAAUCAGGAACCUUGCAACCAUGUUAUCUCGGAUAUGGAUAUAUUUUCGGCAGAGGUAUUUCAUAUAUAUGGAGGGUAAUAUAUAUUCCCAUAUUCAUGUCUGAAUUAGAUGUCGGACACAAAUGUUUUAAGAAAUAUGAAAAGUUCAAGCAACAUAGAAUGUAACAAAUAUACAACAUGUAAGGAAUCGUUUUUAGAAUUUUAAGGAAUUCCUCGUAAAAUGACUUAAUCUAAACCAUAGACCAGAGCGGCUUUUAUUUUUAAUUACAUGAAUGAAUAAAAGUGUUAUUGAGACUAAGAAAUGUGUUGAGAGUUAGGCAUAAUUUACAAGGAGGCCUUAUAGAGUUAGACAAUCAAGCACAUCUUAUCCAGCGUUCAAGAAGUGGAGAUGCAACCAUAUUGACUUACCUCAACUAACCAGUCAACCAAAAUUCCCCAACAACCAAUCAGCAUUCGGCGGAGAGGAGAGGGAAUAGAAAUGCUCAUUAAGGAAACAAUCAAUUAAAAAAGAAGAAGAACAUGAUAAAAAUGUAUAGAAGAGAAACGUUAAAAAGAAGGAAAAAUCAAAUAAAGAAAAAAUGCCAUUACCUGAAAUAUGGGAACAAAAGAGAGAAAGUUACAGAUCUGUGGGAUAAGAUGAAAGAGAAUAUCUGAAAUAUGGCAAGAGAGUUUGAGGGCAGAAAUUAUGUAGAGAGUUUGACAGCAGAUGAAGGGAAAAAAUUGGAAAAUGGGAAAAAAAGAACCGAACGAAAUAGCUAUUCAGGUAUGUGAGCAAUGAAUGGUUAUUACAGCCUUUAGUUGUAAUAAGGCCUGAAUGGAAUCGGGUUGUAAUCCUUUUACAGCCAACCAAACGUUGGUUUGCUAGUGGGCCCACCGAAAUGGGGGAAUGCAUUCUUAUUCCCCCAACCAAACAUGCUGUUAGAUGCUUAAUGCUUCUCUCUAAUUUUAAUUUGUUUAUUGAAUGAAUUUAUAUUUCAGUUGUUUAACUUUAGAAGUUUAUAAAUUGUGAAUUAUUUAAAAAUUUUUAUUUAAGUCAGUGAAUUAUUUUAAAGUUUUUAUUUGAGUCGUUGAGUUAUUUUAAAGUUUUUACUGGAGUCAUUGAGUUGUUGAGUUUUUUUUUUAAAGUUUGAUUAAUAUGAUAAAUCUAUCAAUAAGUAGAAGAAUAUGUAUAAAAUUCAAGUCAAUAUACAGUAGUGAUUUUAACAAUUAAAUGAUUUAAAUAAAAAUUUUAGAAUAGUGUAAUAAUCAUUUUAUAAUUUUUUAAAAUUGAACAACUAAAGCAUAAAUUUAUUAUCAAUUUAAUGACCUUAGUGUAAUUUACCUUAUUUAUUUGACAAAAUCGGGUUUUUUACCUAAAUAAUAUUAAAAAUAUAUAUAUACUAAAAUGGCAUGUUCUAAAAAUUAUGUACCAAAAUGGUAUAUUUAAAAGGGUGGAGGGUGGUGCAUAAGCAGCACCGCCCUAAUAUUAAAAUAGUAACAAUAUUUUAGUAGUGGUGCCUAUCUGAUAGACGACACCCUUAUCUGAUAGGUGGUAUACCUAACAUUUUUCCCCAUUUGGCUCAAUUUUAAAGUAUCAGUUUAAAAAAAUAUAUCUUUUACCUCCAUAAAAAAAUUUAUAUUAAAAUAAUAAAAAAAUGACAAGAAAAAAUAUAACAAAAAAUAUAACGUAAACGAUACAUAAUAAAUACAAAUAUUAUUAUUAUUUUAAAAUGAUAAUAAGUAAAAUGUAUUGGUUUAAAAUAUAAUAGGGUUUUUUUAUACCUAAAUAAUAUUAAAAAUAUAUAUACUGAAAUGAUAUGUUUCAAAAAUUAUGUACCAAAAUGGUACAUUCAAAGGGGUAGAUGGUGGUGCAUAGGCGGCACCGCCUUGAUAUUCUGACAUAAUUUAGUUAAAAAAUAAUAAUAUUUUAGUAGUGGUGCCUAUCUGAUAGGCGGCACUUGUGGUGCCUAUCUGAUAGGCGAUACACUUAGUAUUUUCCCCAUCCGGCUCAAGUUUAAAGUAUCAGUUUAAAAAAUAUAUAUUUUACCUCCAUAAAAAAUAAAAAAUAAAUAUUAAAAUAAUAAAAAUAACAUGGCAAUAAAAAAAUAUAACAAAAACAUAACAUAAACGAUACAUAAUAAAUACGAGUAUUAUUAUUAUUUUAAAAUGAUAAUAAGUAAAAUGUAUUGGUUUAAAAUAUAAUAUAUAUAAUAACAUGCCAACUUAAUUAUUGUCAAAAAAUAUAAAUUUUUUUUCAUAAAACUUCAAAAGAAACUUCAUUUAUAAUAUUUAUAAAAAACAUAAAAUAAAAUUUAAAAACAUAAACUCUUAUUCUUAAUUAUAAAAUCUAAAAAAAUUAGAACAUAUAAACUAAUUCCUAAUUUAUGUCAUAAAUUUCAAAUUCUAUAUCAAUGGUCUCAUCUUUUACCUAUAUAAAAAAAAUAAAAAAAAUUAAAAUUAAAAUAAUCAAAAUAACAUGCCAAAUAAAUUACAUAAAAAAUAAAUCUAAUCAACCUAAAACACACAUAACAAAUAAAUUACAUAAAAAAAAAUAAAACAUUCUUUGUACAUAACAUAAAUAAGCUUUUUUACUUCAAUCAACAUUAAAAAUAAAUUGAGUCGGAUGGGGAGUGGGGAGGGAAAUGCUAGGUGUGCUGCCUAUCAGGUAGGCACCACCAGUGCCGCCUAUCAGAUAAUCACCAUACCCCGUAUUUUUAACUAAAUUAUGUCAUAAUAUCAUGGUGGUGCUUACCAUUUUAGUAUAUAAUUUUUAGAAGAUACCAUUUCAAUAUAUAUAUUUAAUAUUAUUUAGGUAAAAAAUCCAACAAAGCAGGUAUGAAAUUAAUUUACUAAAAGAAAAUACAUUCAUGUAAAAUAAAAUGCCACAAGCUUUCAAUCUUUGUGUAUUAAAGAAUUAAAAAAAACCAAAUUAGUAAAAAGAGCUUUUCAAUCUCUUUUAAAAUCGAAAUUAAACAUACCUUUCAAGAAAAUUAAAAUAAUUUAAUCUUGAUAAAUUUAAAUGUAAGUAAAUAAAGACAAAUAAUUUAAUCUGAAAUAAAUUUAAAUUUAAGUAAAUAAAGACAAUAAAUAACGACAGUGACAUUUUCCAUCCAAAAAUCCUCCGUGGCAAAAGAGAAAAAAAAGAAAAAAAAAAGCUUUAUUUUCACAUGUUAAAUUAUUAUAACAUAAUUACAUAAAAUACCAUUAAAGUUAGGAGUUUUUAAUUUUGUGCCUUUGAUUUUUUUGGCUAUUUUACCUAUCCAAUCCAAAAAAAUUUAAUAUUUAUAAAAAUGACCCUAGUUCAAAAACAUUCAUCAAAAUGACCUGAAAUGAAAAGUAGAUUUGGGUUUUAGGAACCCAAUGGCCGACACUACCUAGUGUAAAUGGCUGAGAAAAUUUUUUAUUAAGAGAGCCAUCAAAAUGAAAGUAUUUUUUAGUAUAUCAUCAAAUGAGUUUUUCGUAGUGUACAACCGAAUUUCAGGGUUAAAAUAUAUAUUAUCACGUUUUAACGGAGUUGAAUUAUAUACUGUCAUAACCACCCCAAAGGUUAUGCCAUUAAGAGUUGAAUGACUUUCUGCGCCAUAGAUGGCUAACCGAGAUGUCCAACACAGAUGAACAUUAUCUAUGGUGUAAUAGCUUUUAUUCCACAACUUAUAAGUGGGGUACUAAUGCAACGUAGACCUAAUUCAAGUAGAAGACAACUAAUCGUGAAGAAACUUCUAUUCAAAAUAAUAGUAUUAUUUCUUUAGAAUGUUUGUAUUUUUUUAUAUCUAUAAAUUUAAUGUAGUUGUUUAGAAUUUAAGGUUUCAUUUUUAUAUUUUCGUGUAUUAAUUUCUUAGAAUGUUUGUAUUUUUUUUAUAUCUAUAAAUUUAAUGUAGUUGUUUAGUAUUUAAGGUUUCAUUUUUAUAUUUUCGUGUAUUAAUUUCUUUAAAUGUUUGUAUUUUUUUUGUAUUUGUAAAUUUAAUUUAAUUCGUAUUAUAUGUAGUUUGAAUUUAAAAUUUUUAUGUAUUAAUUUUACCAUCCGUUUGUAGUGUUGGGUGUUUAAAUUUAAUUUAGUACGUAUUAUUUUUGUUUGAAUUUUAUAUUUUUUGUAUUAAUAUUGUAGGAUGUUUAUAUUUUAUUGUGUCUGUAAAUUUAAUUUGUAAUGUACUAUUACUUAUUCGAAUUAUAUAUUUUUUUAUUAAAUAUUUUGAAGUCAUUUAUUCAAACAAAUAAUUAUUCUAGAGAAAUUAAAUUAAUAUUAAAAACAGAAUAAUUACAAAAUAAAACAAAUAUUUACAUAUAAAAAUUAAAAUUGUCGUGAUCUCGGCCAACACCAAAAUAAAGUAAAUAUCUACUGGCCAACACCAAUUUUUUUUAUUAAAUGUACUUGGUGCCAGCUAUUACAUGGUCAGCACCUAAAUAUAUAUAUAAAAUACACUGGUGUCGGCCAUCAAUGCUCCAAAAAAAUACAUUGGGAGUCGAAAUUGUAAAUUUUUUUAAAUACAUUGGUGCUGGUCAUUAGUGUCCCAAAGUAAAAAAAGUGUCUUGGUAAGCGAAAAUUGUACCUGGUGCCGACUAUCUACUGGCCAGCAUCAAAUUUUUUUAAAUACUGAUAUUUUUGUAUACCAAUAUAAUACGAUUUAAAAAAAAUACCCUGGUGCCGGCCAUUAGGUUCCCAAACUUAAAAAAACAAUUUUUUUAAAGCCUAACACAAUCAUCAAGCAAUCAUGGGGCCAAAACACUCGGCAGUGCCGGCCAUUGGAUUCUCAAAACUCAAAUCUACUGUUUAUUUUAGAUCAUUUUGGUGAAUGUUUUUGAACCAGAGUUAUUUUUAUAAAUAUUAAAUUUUUUUGGGUUAGAUGGGUAAAAUGAUCGAUUUUUUUUCAUUUACGUUCUUUAACGUUAUAAUUUUUUAGCUAUUUUACUCAUCUAACCCAAAAAAAUUUAAUAAUUAUAAAAAUGAUCCUGGUUCAAAAACAUUCACCAAAAUGACCUUAAAUGAACAAUAAAUUUGGGUUUUGGGAAUUUAAUGGCCGGCACUACCUAGUGUUUUGGCCCCAUGAUUGCUAGAUGAUUAUGUCAGGCUUUAAAUUUUCUUUUUUGAGUUUGGGAACCCAAUAGUCGGCACUAGGGUAUUUUUUUUAAAAUCGUAUCAUACUGGUAUACAAAAUACCAACAUUUAAAAAAACAUUUUGGUUCUGGCCACGUAAUGGCCUAUACCAGACACAUUAAAUUUUUUUCUUUUUUGGUGUUGGCCAGUAAAUAGGCGGCACCAAGUACAAUUUUUACUGCCCAAGACACUUUUUUUUUUUACUUUGGGACACUGAUGGUCGGCACUAGUGUAUUUUAAAAAAAAUUUGGAUGUUGGCAAUGUAAUGACCGACACCAAGUACAAUUUCGGCUCCCAAUGCAUUUUUUUUGGAACAUUGAUGGCCGGCACUAGUGUAUUUAAAAAAAAAAUUUGGUGCUGGCAGAGAUCAGGACAAUUUUAAUUUUUAUCUGUAAAUAUUUACUUCAUUUUGUAAUUAUUCUAUUUUUAAUAUUAAUUUAAUUUCUCUAAAAUAAUUAUUUGCUUGAAUAAACGACUUCAAAAUAUUUAAUAAAAAAUAUAUAAUUCGAAUAAGAAUAGUAUACGACAAAUUAAAUUUACAGACACAAUAAAAUACAAACCUUCUACAAUAUUAAUACAAAAAAAUAUAAAAUUCAAACAAAAAUUGUACGCACUAAACUAAAUUUAAACAACCAACAAACUACAAACAGAUGAGCAAAAUUAAUAUAUGGAAAUUUAAAAUUCAAACUACAUAUAAUACAGAUUAAAUUAAAUUUACAGAUACAAAAAAUACAAACAUUCUAAAAAAUUAAUACAUGAAAAUAUAAAAAUGAAACAUUAAAUCCUAAACAACUAUAUUAAAUUUACAGAUAUAAAAAAAAAUACAAACAUUCUAAAGAUAUAAUACAAUUAUUUUGAAUAGUAGUUUCUUCACAAUUAGUUGUCUUCUGCUUGAAUCAGGUCUACGUUGCAUCAGUACCCCACUUAUAAGUUGCGAAAUAAACGCUAUUGUACCAUAGAUAAUGUCCAUCUGCAUUGGACAUCUCGAUUAGCCAUCUAUGGCGCAGACAGUCAUCAAACUCUUAAUGGCAUAACCUUUCGGAUGGAUAUGAUAGUAUAUAAUUCAACUCCGUUAAAACGUGACAAUAUAUAAUUCAAUCUCGAAAUUCGGUUGUACACUACGAAAAACUCCCAUCUACAAUCCACUACAAAUAACUCAAUUGAUGAUAUACUAAAAAACACUCUUAUUUUGAUGGCUUUCUCAAAAAAAGAUUCUAAUCCAUUUACACUAUUAGAACCCAAACCACCCACUAUAUAUAGGGUUUGGUGCCGACCAUCUGUGUUCCAAAAUAAAAAAAAAGAAUUUUUUUAAUGUGAUAAAGUUGGUGUCGGUCAUCGCUAUCCCAAAACCAAAGAAAAAUUUUUUUGGGGACCUAAAAAAAGUGGUGCCGGCCAUCAGUGUCCUAAAAUAAAAUAAAAAUUUGUAUUGGGAGGCAAAAAAUGUACUUGCCCAAUUUUUUUUAGGGUAAAUUACAAAAAUAGUCACUUUUGUUUGUCUCAGACUACAUUUCAGUCACUUAUGUUUGAAUUGUUACGUUUUAGUCACUUACGUUACUGUUUUGUUACAAAGUGAUCACUCUAUCGUUAAGCUCCGUUACCUCCCUAAAGGCGGUCCUACGUGGCAGUCAAAAUGGGUUUUAAUUGUCAACUUGGAUGUCCUACGUAACAGUCCAAAUUGAAUUUUAUUUAAUUAAAAAUAUAUUUUCAUCCCAACAACUAGACAUCCAAGUUGGCAUUUAAAACCCAUUUGGACUGCCACAUAGGACUUCCGUUAGGGAGGUAACGAAUUUUAAUAGUAGUGUGACCGCUUCGUAACAAAACGAUAACAUAAGUGACUAAAAUGUAACAUUUUAAACAUAAGUGACUAAAAUGUAAUUUGAGGUAAAUAAAAGUGACUAUUUUUGUAGUUUACCCUUUUUUAAAUACACUAGAGCCGACCAUUAUUUUUAUAAAAGAAAUUCAUUGGGAGUCGAAAAUUGUACUAUAAUGGCCAACACUAAAUUUUUUUUUAAAAUACACUGGUGCCAGCCAUCAGUGUUCAAAAAAAAUGCACUGGGAGUCGAAAUUGUACUUAGUGCAGGUAAUUACAUGGCCAACACCCAAAUUUUUUUUUAAAAUACGCUAGUGCCAGCCAUCAGUAUCCAAAGUAAAAAAAAGUGUAUUGGGAAGCGAAAAUUAGACCUAGUGCCAGCCAUCUACUAGCCAACACGAAUUUUAUGUGUCUGGUGUCGGCCAUUACGUGGUCAGAACCAAUUUUUUUAAAGUCUGACACAAUCAUCAGACAAUUGUAGGACUAAAGCACUAGGUAGUGCUAAUUAUUGGGUUCCUAAAACCUAAAUUUACUGUUUAUUUCAAGUUAUUUUAGCGAAUAUUUUUAAACUACUUAAAAUAGCAGAAACUCUGCUCGUACAAGCAAAUUUUUUAAUAUCAGGAUUUGAUCCAGGCUCUUGUCCCCCGAAUUGAUUGCUAGGGAAAGCUAGAAUCUCAAAUAUUGUGAUAGAGUUUUUUCAACAAAUCUUACAAAAACAUGAUGACAUUAUUAAGGAACAAAAUAUCAAGGUAAGAAUGCUUAAUGUAAUAUUCCCCAAGCUUUUACCUUUACUGUGUAGUCGUAUAGUGUUUUAUCUCCGUAGCUGCUCUUGCAUGAAUGCCUGAAGAUGAGUUAAAGACAAACCCAAAAGCAGUAAGCGAUGGCAAGGAGAACCCAUGUUGGAAAAAGGCUGAUUUUGAAGACCCAAGCGAGGGUUGAUGGAAGGGAUUGAAAAAGACAUGGAAGGCUAUGAUGAAGAAAAAAUUGGGUUCUUUUUUGCUUGGGAAAAAUCAAGAAGAGGAGACAGAAUAGUUGCAGAGAAAGGCAUGGAAGCCAUAGUUUCGUUUUUUGUCUCCUUUGUGUCUGUCUAAUUGUCUAAAAUGAUGGAGGUGGAGGUGAUGGCAUUGCUAGGUCGAAACCCGGUUGGAAGAGAGGUGGGGUGGUUGUGGAAGUGGCAGAAGCAGCAAUGGUGGAGAAACAGAAAUUUUUUUAUUUUGUGUUAUAGCAGUAACGGGAAGAGGAGGGGGAUGAAGAAAGAAUAUGAAACAAAAUGAAAAGAAAAUUGAAGUCAUAGAUGUAACAUAGGCUUACAUCAUUGAUCGGUGUUUAAUUAGCGGUUAACUCACGUUAAAAUUGGGUUGAUUUCUAAAAAAAAUCAAUAGCACAAAACCAAAAAUCUAUAAAGCAAUAGGUUUAUCUCUCUGAAUAUUAUCAGUCUGUAAAGAAGAAAUAUCAGUAUCAAAAAUAGGCAAAAGAAACGUGGGAGAGACCUCGAGAUAAGGUCACUCUUACGAGCUCGUGAGCCGUCUUAACCAUUCGUUUAGUCCACCAAAAGGAGUCAAACAGUCUUGAAGAACAAGCCUAAAUUCAGAUAAGUCAUGCCGUGAAGAGUUAUACGCGUCUAUAACAUCCCCACAAUCCGAUUCGAAAAUUACCUUUCCAAAAUUUAGUGUUUUCAACCAAGAGAGAGUCAUUCAUAUGGCCAUCAAUUCAGCCAUUUGUACCUCCCAAACAGUAAGGGCCAUUCCUAAACAACCUCGGAUAAAAGACCCAGUAUGAUCUCGAACAAUAGCUGCAAAAGAACCGCUCGAUGUAGAAGAAAUGACGGUGUCAACGCUGCACUUUACCCAACCAUCAGCCGGCUUCUCCCAAGUGACUCGACUAUUGCUCCCUCCCGACGGAACGCACUGCACCCUGGAGAAAACAGUCGGAGCAUCUUGCCACUCAUUCAAAAACCUGUCAGCCUGGUCGACAAUCACAGCUACUGGCGCAUCUGUUUGCUUCCAAACGAACAGGUUUCUAUGAAACCAUAGACACCAGGCUAGCGUCAGAAUUCUGCACUAAAUUAGUAGAAACCUGAAAAGUAGACAGCUGAAUUUUGAAAUCUGAAAAAGUAGAGAGAUUAAUUUCCUAGAAAUAAAAGUAUAGGGGUUAAAUUAUAAAUUUACAAAAUUACAGUGACUUAUGGAAAAAUUUAUCCUUUUUAUCUUAUCCGAUUUAUAAUCGACAGCCACGUGGUAAUUCCUCCUUUCUAGUUUUCUGACAAUGGGAAACUAUGGGUUUAAUUACCUCCAACUGCCGGUGAACCAAUCUCUAAUCCACCGGCUCAACCGGUUUAUUGGUCAAUAACUAUGGGUUUAAGCCUUUUAUUUUGUAAUGGCGGUUUUUUUAAUUUCUUUUAAGCUUUGAAGGGUUUUUGUAAAAAACUCCUUCGUUUCAAAUUACAACAACUUAACCAAAAGAAAAAUCUGAUAUUUGUUUCAGCUGAAUUUUCAUUAAAAAUAUUGCAUUUUUAAUUGUUUUCUUUGUGUAUAUGCGUGUGUGUAUAUAUAUUGGGAUUUAAGAACUGAAGAUCCUUUCAAUUCAAAAGGUGAGUUCUUGAACCUUUUUACUUGAAUUAUAAGGUAUCUUCCUUUUUUAUGGUUUACUAUUUGGAGUUUUUUAAAUUUCCCGUUGAAUUACGCCAAAUUGUGAGUAAAUUUGGGCUUUACGUGAUUAAAUUUCGAAUCGAAUUAUAAUUUGGAUCGAGAUCUGAGCUUCUUUUUUCGCUUCGAAAAUGUUAAUCGUGCCAAAGUUGGAAUUUCGGUUCAACUUUAAGUUUUAUGGGAUUUUUUUAGUUUCCACUAAUUAUUUUUAAAAAAAAAACAAAGAGAAUAAGAAUUUAACCAUUUUUUUUGCUUUGUUUAAUUGUAUAAUUUCUUGUUUAAGUUCAAGAUUUUCAAUCAAUUCUAAUUUAAAUUUCACAGUGGAAAUUUUAAUUUUAACAGAAAAUUGAAUUUGAUCAAAGCUAAGCAACUGUAUUCUUCUCUUAAUAUACCAUUUUGGGAUCCGUAAAUUUGAUAUGUUCAUUUUAACAAAAUUCUGGCCGUUGAAUUUCCUUGUUUUUUUCAGUGAUCAAGCAAAAUUAAUUUGGGUUAUAUACACAGAUAUAAUAUAUAUAUUAAGGUUUGUUGUGGUUAUCUUUGUUAUUAUUCUGAUAUAUGAGCUACUCUAUUUUUGGAUUGGUUUAUGUGCAGAGAAUUUGAGUCUGGAAUAUUUUCUUUUUGUUGAUGGAUUUAAUUACCUUAACAUGCCUGUGAUAUGGUGUUUAAGAAGAGGUUAGAUUAUGGAUUCAAUGCCUUCAAUGUCCACGAUGUACCCCGAGCCCCUCGAUCGAUGCGGGUAUGUUUCAUUUUUUGUAAUUGUCCUUUAAGGUUCUGUUUGAUCCUGUUGAUGUGCUAACUCGAUCUAUAAAAUACAAUCCAUUUGGGUAUGUUUUGUUCUAUUGUUCCUCGUCUUUUAAGGUUGCAUGUUGAACUUGUGCUAGUUUUGAUCUCCAACUUGAUGAUAAAACUAUGGUCCUCGAUUGAUUUGAGUAUGUUUCGAUUUUUUUACAUUGUCUUUUAAGGUUGGCUGUUGAUCUUGUACUAGUUUUUGAUCAUGUUGAUGUUCUAAUUUGAUGUAUAAAACUAUGGUCAUUGUUGAUUACAGAGGAGGAGUCAAAGUAAGUGGACAGUUCAGGAAAGUCAGUUUUGCGCAUUUGAAAUGUUAGCUUCUCUAGCUGGGAAGCUACUGCAGGAGAGUGAAAGUUCUGCUUCGAGCAAUGCUUCAGAAGGACAUGAAUGUGAUUCUAUAGGUAAAAAAUGUUUUAAACAGGAAAUCCAGUACGAUGAUAAGCCUUUGAAACCCAAAUGUUUUGAGCAAGGAAGGUGUGAAGCAAGCGUUGCUGCCUCAGAGUUGACUACUGAAAAUGGUGAUGAUUCGAAGGACUUUAGAUGUGCUGAAAAUAAUGCCAUCUUGGAAUGCACUUUGACAAAGACGGAUCCUGCUUGCUCAGAGGAAAUCAAUGGCGAUUUAAAGUAUGGGAGUUUUCUGGGUAAUGUAGAUGACCAUUCCCCUUAUUUUGGGGAGUCGUAUAAUGGUAAAACUGAGAAUGCAUUUAAACAAGAGCAAGAUCCUACGGGUUUGGAUACUCAGGCUCUAAAUAUUGCUAAUAAUGGCCCCUCAAAGGAUCCCGUUAAGUUUGAUAGAGUUGUCAAAUUGCUAUCAUGUCGGGACCCUGUUCCUAGUGUUCCAUUUACAAGACGUAGGAAUGAUAUUAAGUUAGGCAGUAGAGAUGAUGAAGAAAACUUUUCUAGGUUUAAGAGACUUAGCAAGAGGUUUAAGGCUUCUAGACCUCCAACACGUACCGGAGACCGAAGAAUAAGGAAGUUGCUGACAUCCAAAUACUGGAAAGUUGCUACAAAGUUGAAGGAUUUUGAACAUUCUAGAUUUGGUGAGUGGUUCCAAUAGUUUUAGCAUUCAUAGCAUGUCACCCUUUAUGUGUCUGCUUCUAACCAAAGUCCUUGUGCAUCUUAUUUUGAAGUACCAAGUUAUUUCUUGCUGAUUUUUGUUUUUCAUAUAUUUCAAGGAGGAAAAAGGCCUCUGUAUCGCAAGUGGAAGACAUACUACAACUACCACAGAUAUCAAUAUGACACGCUUUAUAAACAGAGGAAGAUCUUUGACCGUAAAAGCAUUACUAGUUCUCCUGAGAAGGAUAUGAAUGGUGAUAAGUGUAGCACAGCUGCAAUGUCAGAUAGAGGUGCUUCGCCAUUGCAAUUGUCUUUAUAGCACUUAAUAGUUUACAGAUUUCUGGAUUGGGAUGUAACUAGUCUUUCAAAACUAUUUUAUUCUGCUUUGUAGCCUGUGGGAUAUCAUCCGUGUUUACAGGUCAUCACUCAUCAAGCAUCCUACCAGCUCAAGGAUUCUUGUGGUGCAGAUGGUUUUUGAUAGACUGUUGCAUGUUACUUGCAUAUAUUUUUUGCUCUGGUUUUGGGGAAUGUCUUAUUUGGAUUUGUUCUCUGGUACAGUGAAAUUUAGCAUCAAGUCCUUUAGGAUUCCAGAACUUUACAUCGAGGUGCCCGAAACUGCAACUGUUGGUUCACUGAAGGUAUAUAAAUGCUGUGUUUUUAUUGUGCAUCGGUUAAUAUAAUUAUUUAAUUAGUCCAUAUAUUCUAACUUUUACCAUUGAUGUUAUGUAAAUGUGAAUAGAGGACCGUAAUGGAGGCAGUGACAGCCUUAAUUGGGGGUGGAAUACGUGUCGGGCUACUCCUUCAAGGGAAAAAGGUGAGAGAUGACAGCAGAACUCUAUCACAGGCUGGUAUUUCCUGUGAUGAUAAUCUGGAUGCUCUCGGUUUCACUUUGGAGCCUGGUCCUGCAAAAGCUCCUCCAACCAUGUGCUCUGAAGAACCACCUCUUUUAUUAUCAUAUGACGCCGCCCCACAAAAUUUAACAAGGUGAUUUUUUUAUGGUUUAUGAUAGGUUGUUUUAUUACUGGUUGUUGAUUCAUAUCACUUUAUUUCAUGUAUCUAUAUUGUGAGUUAGUUGUACUGUUGAUUAAUUACUGCUUGGUUUCCAGCUCUCUGGCCACUCCAGCUGUAAAUACUGGCAUUCCGAAUUGCACAUCCAACCUAGCUUUACUGACCAAUUCAGAAAAUCCUGCGACUGACCAUGAACCCGUUUCCUCCAAAACUGACAUGGCAACUGAUCAAAGUCUGUUGGAGCCAAGGGCUCUGGUUCCGGUUCCAGUUCCAGCAACAAAUGUUGAGGCACUAACUGCUGUCGCAGUCAACCAGAAUUUCCAAAAAUCUGAGCUUGCACAGCAUCGAAUCUGGAGGCCAUUUUCCAUAUCAGAAGUCGAAGCAUUGGUACAGGCAGUUGAGGAGAUUGGUACUGGAAGGUAUAAUAUAUUAUGCUGCCACUGUUUCUGUUCACAUUUCUAGUGAGCACUACUAUUUCUUUUCAUGGGUUUGUGGAGGAGGGUAAAAGUAGUUGUAGGAUUGGCUCUUUGAAGAGGAUGCAGUUAUAAAUAUUCAAGAUUAAUAUCGUUUUCUCUCUUAUGUAGGUGGCGCGAUGUUAAAUUGCGAGCUUUUGAGAGUGCUGACCAUCGGACUUAUGUGAAUUUGAAGGUAACAUUACUCAUCUUUUUCUUCUCGUUCUUGUUCAAUGAAGAGAUAUGGGCAAUGAAUGGGACUUCCCAUGUACGAUAACCAUUAGAGCAGAUUUCUGAGGCCUGGGUGUACCAUUGAGAAAGAAACCGAUCAACUCCAGGACAAUUACUGAAUUUUUAUUUAUCCAUCGUGCUUAGAUGCCUAUGCAAAAGCUUGUAAAAUUUUGUUGUGAAUUAGCUGAAGCCACACUGGUCUCCCAAGACCGAUAAGCCUCGUUAACCAAUGCUUUCAUUAUUUAUUUUCAUUGCAAGCUCUAUUUUGGUAACUGAUCUUUGAGCUUAUAUAUGCAUUUGGGGUACGGAUUAAGCAACAUGUUUUGUACAACCAGGAGUAUCUUAUCGGUAAUACCUGUAUCAACUGUUUCUAAUUACGGAUCACUACCAUCUUCAGGAUAAAUGGAAAACACUGGUUCACACAGCGAAGAUUUCCCCACAACAACGGCGAGGAGAUCCAGUACCUCAGGAACUCCUGGACAGAGUUUUGGUUGCCCAUGCUUACUGGGCUCAGCAUCAAGCUAAAAAGCAGCAAAGUAAGCAUCACCAUCAUCGUCACGGAACUCCGAGCAUCACAGACACCACUGAAGCUGACAGAAAGGGUGUUGCACGUGUCCCAAUCGGUACAAUGUAAGGAAAACAAAAGGCACACAUACCCACACUGACAUGAAACAUUGUACAAAUUAUUCACAUUUUAUGUAAUGUUGCACUCUCACUUGAUUUAUAGGCCUGGUCUUUUCUUGGUGGGGGAGCCAUUGGCACUUUCUGCAAAUAAAAUGAUUAGAUGAAAUAAGAUGGGUCUACUAACCACAUUUUUCAGUACUUUUUGGUUAUUCAUUCUUUUGAUUUAAAUUUGUAAUUCAUAUCCAAUGAAGUUAGGGGAAUCAAAGACUAGAUAUUUAUGAUUAAUUAAUGUAAAGGAUUAGGUUAGUGUGUUAAUUAGGAAUUUUCUUUUUUGAUUUGCACUAGUGCUAAAUGAUGAGGAUGGCAAGAAGGCUAAUACACAGAUAUUAUUGAUUUAAUUUCAAAGUGGGGUAUAAAAUUAUAGAAUGUUAAUCUGUGUUUAGUGUGAUAUUUAAAAUAAAUAUAUUAUGUUUUAUAUUUUUUUAAAGAGUUAAUUCACUAUUUGGUCCUUAAACUACAUUUCUCUUUUCACUUUGAUUUUUUUUUUGGUUCCACUUUGGUUGAAUCCCAUUAUUUUAGUUCCACUUUUGCCACAAAAUAAAAAAAAAAAUUGCCAACAAAAAUGUGAUAUGUCACAUCGUUAUUGGAUGCCGGUAAAUUUUCGAAAUAAAAUGGAUAAAAAUAAUAGUUAUGGUAUUAAAAAUCAAAUCAUAAAAUGAAAAUCCGGUGAUAGUCAUAUAUAUAUAUUACUGUAAAAUAAUUAAAUAGAACAAGUUAUAAAACAUUCAAGAAAACAGAAAAAUAAGUCAUAAAUUUGAUUAACCAAAUUUUUAUUACAAUAAUACUUAUUUAAAAAUAAUACUUAUUAGCAGUAGAACAAUAGUCAAUUAAUAAAAAAUAAUAAAAAUAAGAAUAUACAGAUUUUACUUGAAAAAUUCUAUUUUAAGCAAAGUCGAUUAGAAGAAUAAUAGUUUUAUACGGAUUCAAUUUGUACUGGCCUCUCACUCUAUAGAUCCCCUUAUUUCUUUAGAGUAUUUAUUUCUUAAACAAGUGAAAAGAUUCGAAUCACGUAAUUUCUAACAAUGAACGACAUAAUAAAAUAAGAUAGUAAAGGCAUAAUGUGUCUCGUGGUCUAUGAUUUUCAUUUUUAAUAAUAAUAUUAUUAUAUAUUUUGUCCAUUUAAAAAAUAAUUAUUUGUAAUAUUAAUAUAAAUUUUUUUUUACAUCUAAACUUUAUAAUAUUGCUAAAAUGAAUAAUGCUUUUUUUUUUUGGAUUAACAGGAGAAUUUUAGAAAUAUCUAAAAUAAGCUUACAUGUCUGACAUAUUUUAGACCCAAAAAGAAUGUCAGAAAAAACUCUUUUCCUUUUUAGAGAUGACUUAAUUAAAAGAAAAAAAAAUACCAAUCUUAUGAAUCAAAUACUAUAUUUAGGAAUGAAUGGACGGCUAAGAUUCAACCAACAUCAUCACCCUAUUUAAAAAUUAAUUUUCUUAUUGUCCAGUGAGUCUGUUCUUUUUCUUUAUAACUCCAACAAAGGUUUACCUUUGUCUCCCCUUGUCUCUCUUUUUCUCUGUAAGAUUCUCAGCUCAGGUACUUUACUUCUAUUGAUCUUUUCUCUGUUCUUUUAAAAGUAAAAAUAGCUUGAUGGUUUUUUUUUUUAAGGUUGUCUUGUAAAAGAUUUUGAUGUGUUUUUAAGGUUGUCUGACUUUUAAACCCUUUAAGAAUCUUUUGUUUUUGGGUAUAUGUGUGUGUGUGUGCUCCCAGUUUGAUUCUUAUAUUUGUUCUUGAAAUGAUCAUUUUCUAUCUAGGUUUUGGUUUAUAUUCAUUGUUGUUUAAGUUCCCUUAUUCAUUACUGUUCAAAUAUCUCAUUCUUUUUUAUAAAAAAAUGUUUUAUAUUGUAAAAACAUGUUAUUUGCUGUUCUCGUUGAUAAUAUAAUGCCCAGAAUUUUCAUUUUUUAUUUAGAAUCCAGUUCUUUCUAUGUUUGAUGUUGUGUUAUUUUGAUUUUUAUAGGUAUUUUUGAGAAGGAACAUAGUAGUUUAUUGUUGGAAAUUGUGUUGGUUUUUUGGACAAGGAACAGUUCCUAGAGGGGAGGCGUUGGAUUUGAGGUUGGAAUUUACUAGGUUUUAUUUUGGGUUGUCAGUUUUUGAACUUGAAAGUGAAGAGCUUUGAUAGUUCUGAAAUUCGGGUUUCGGUUUUUUAUUGCUUUGUGAAGCGUAUCAUCAUGGAUCCGUCGUUGCAGGGGCUUUACAGUUCUGUUGAUAGAUUCAGAGUAAAUGAUGAUACUUUGUUAGCGAUAUCGAGCCCGAACUUUAAUAACAGGUUUAAGAAUGAAACUUUUGCUGGUAUUCCUCCUUUGCAACCUGCUACGAUUCCGAUAAAUUUGCUGCCUUCUGCAAGUGUGAACGAGCCCGAGGAUUAUGACUUUAGUGACUUAGUUCUUAAGUACAUAAGUGAGAUGUUAAUGGAAGAAGAUAUGGAAGAUAAGACCUGCAUGUUUAAAGAGUCUUCAGCAGCCCUUCAAGCUGCCGAGAAAUCAUUUUAUGAGGUUCUCGGAGAACAGUAUCCACCUUCUCUGGAACCCGAAUUGAAAUAUCAAAACCAUGAAAGCUCGAAUGAACUUCAUGGUCAUAGUUGUUGCAGUUGUAGUAGUGCUGACGGUAACUUACUCAAUCUUCCGUCCAACUAUGAUUUAGGCAUGCAAAUGUCUUUAAACUACAGUUCUCAGGCCAAUUCAUCCCAUAGUUCCGGGAACAGUGCUGGUAGUCUCGUAGAUGGCUUUACAGAUUCUCCGGUGAGUACUCCCCGGCUUCCUGAAAUAUUUGGUGAUAGUGAGUCAGUCGUUCAAUUCAGAAAAGGGUUUGAGGAAGCAAGUAGGUUCCUUCCGAAUCGUGGAAACUUGUUUGUUGAUGUAGAGAGUGACGGACUGUUUCUCAAAGAGGUGAAGGAAGAGGCUAAAAGUGUGGUAGAGAAGGUGGAAAAUGAGUUAUUGCAGGACGGAUCGAGGGGAAAGAAGAAGCCUUAUCCUGAGGAUGUGAAUUAAUACAACGGCAGGAGUAACAAGCAGUCGUUGGUUUAUACUGAAUCCACUGUAAGCCCGGAAAUGUUUGAUACAGUGUUACUGAAUUGUCAAAGCGUAGCCGACCUUCAAAAAGUUUUGCAACACGAAACAAACAAGAAUGUGCAACAGAACGGACAGUCAAAAGGACCUACAGGUGGGAAGGCACGUGCGAAGAAAGGUAAACGGAAUGUGGUGGAUUUGAGGACUCUGUUGACUCUUUGUGCACAAGCUGUUGCGACCGAUGAUCGGAGGAGUGCAAAUGAGCUGCUGAAGCAAAUCAGGCAGCAUUCUUCGCCUAUGGGUGAUGGGAUGCAACGGUUGGCCCACUAUUUUGUCGAUGGUCUAGAGGCACGCUUAGCUGGCUCCGGGACCCAGAGUUACAAUCCUGUUGUCACGAGACCGACAUCAGCUGCUAACAUUUUGAAAGCUUACCAUCUGUUUCUUGCUGCAUGCCCUUUUAGGAAGCUCUCGAAUUUCUUCUCAGAUACGACGAUAAUGAAUCUUGCGGAGAAUGCAGCUAGGCUUCAUAUUAUUGACUUCGGUAUUCUAUAUGGCUUCCAAUGGCCUUGUCUUAUACGGCGUCUCUCAUCUAGACCGGGGGGACCGCCUAAACUAAAGAUCACAGGGAUCGAUCUUCCGCAACCUGGUUUCCGGCCAGCAGAAAGGGUUGAGGAGACAGGGCGUCGUCUUGCGAACUAUGCUGAGGCUUUCAAAGUUCCGUUCGAGUUCAAUGCAAUUGCACAAAAAUGGGACUCCAUUCAGAUCGAGGACAUAAAGAUUGAAAGUGGUGAAGUGCUUAUUGUAAACUGCAUUUACAGGCUUCGGAAUCUGCUCGAUGAGACUGUGGUUGUGGAGAGUCCGAGGAAUAAAGUUCUGAACUUGAUGAGGAAAUUGCAUCCCGAUGUUUUCAUACUAGGGAUCGUGAACGGCGCCUACAGUGCUCCAUUCUUUAUUACGAGAUUCAGGGAGGCUCUCUUCCACUAUUCCACUUUAUUCGAUAUGCUCGAGACUAAUGUGCCCCGUGAAAUUCCGGAACGGAUGCUAAUCGAGAGAGAGAUAUUUGGGUGGGAGGCAAUGAAUGUCAUUGCAUGCGAAGGUGCUGAAAGAAUCGAGAGGCCUGAGACAUACAAGCAAUGGCAGGUCCGGAAUACAAGGGCCGGGUUCAGACAGUUGCCACUGGAUAAGGAGAUGAUGAAAACGGCAAAGGAGAGAGUCAAUACAAACUACCACAAGGACUUUGUAAUCGACGAGGAUAACCAUUGGUUGCUUCAAGGGUGGAAGGGACGGAUUGUUUAUGCACACUCGUGUUGGGUGCCUGCCUCAUAACCGAAUACUUUUGAACUACUCAAGAAAAGGCAAAGUCUUGCAAAAUCAGCUGCAGCCUUUUUGAUGGUUACGAUCCAGUGAUGGAUUUCACAUAGACGGAGAUAAGGUGAUCUAUCCGCUUCACUCCAUCCCUUACACACACGCAUACACAAAAACUCAAAUUCCUGAAAACGAAACUUGAUAUUGACGACCGUUUGUCGUAUUUUCCAACCAGGUUAGGUUACGUAAGAUCAUUGCUGGUGCUUAUUCUCAUGCUGUUAGAGGCUGAAAUGCAACAUGUACCAUAUCAUUUCGGCGGUUACCUUAUGGCUGGAGGUCAUUGCAUUGAUGCGCAUAACACGUAAAAUGUAUCCGGGAAUAACGGCAGCAACGGUAACGCAAAUUCUUAACGAAACAGAUACGUAAUUAUAUUAAAACCUAGCUGUUUAAGGGAAUGGUAAUGAUAUUUAAGUAUGUUGUAUGCACAAAAAUAGUGCUUAUUCUGUUUGCUUCAAAGUAGUAAAUUUUAUUGUCAAGUUACUCGGACUUUGAUGGUAAGUUUCUGGUAUAUGUCUUUGAUAUGAGUAAUUUUUUUAAAAAAGAAUUAUGUAUUUGGAAGAUUUUUAAAAAUUAUUAUAAUUUUGUAUCAUAUAUGUUGAAUAUAGGGAUGACAAAACCCGAACCGUCUAAUAGAUUUUGAAUUGGUCAACUUUGAAUGGAGUGGAUGAUUUUGUUUGAAAAGUAGAGGCGAGGAUGGGUGGGAUGAUUUUUUUUUUUUUGAUAGUGAGUACGAAAUUGUUUGUCCCGCUUCACUAUAUAAAAUUACCAUUAUAUCAUUAUAUAUAUAAAAACAGAAUUUUUAUUAUAAGUAUGAUAAAUCAUCUUAACAAGUAAACUUAUAUAACUAGAUAUUUCAAAAAAACUAAAACUUGUUAUUUUUAAAUAUCAUAAAUAUUAUAGAUAAGAAAAAAGAUAAAAACAAUAAUACAAUAAAUAACCAAAUUAUAUUAAUUAGGUCAAAAGUUUGUUUGAAUUGCAUUAGACUUACAGGUUGGAUCAAUAACCGGACAAAAUAUUAAUCCGAAAAGGAGUAUUAGAUUGGUUGAGUUGAAUCGAAUUUAAAAAAAAUUAUUUUUAUAAUUUUUAAUAAUUUAUUUAAAUAAGUAGGACGAAUUAAUAAAUUAAUAGUUUAACUGGUCUAUUACCGAUCCUAUUUUUAAAAACAUUAGAUGUAUAUAGUGGUAUAUGUUUUUUUCCAUUAUAUAGCUAGUGGUAUUGAUACUGUGAUAUUAUCUCAAUCAUUUGUCAGAUUUAGUCAUAGUCAAAUGCAACAAAGUAUUACUUCGUUAAUGAUUUUAUAUUAUAAAAUUUUCUAUCUUUUAGACUUAAGAUGCAUUCAAAUCUAAAUACCAACACCCAAGCUUUCAUUGAGAAAAUUAUGACAUUCUAGAAACCUUUAAAUAUUUGGAAAAGAAAUCUCUAAAAUUUUUGUCUCAGACAUAUGCAUGAAUCUAAUACUUCGGUUCAAAUCUGUGUGCAUUUGACUGGUUGAAGUUCACACACAUGGUUUUACGUAGAAUUUAGUAAUUAAGUCAAUUGGAGUGGUUGCUUUCUACUAAGCAAUUAUUUAAGUUGAAUCAAUUUAUGCACCUUAGUUAAAUGAUAAAAGUAUAACUGGGUUUAAAUCAUAUUACGUGGGUAUAUUUUUAUAUAAAAGAUAAAAAUAAUGACAAAAAUAUCUUUCAAAUAAUACAAUUUAUUUUUGUAAAAAUGGUGUAUUUUUAUCUUUUCUUGACCGAGUUGGUACUCUUAUCUUAUGCUUUUUCCAUAUAAAAGAUAUAAAAUUACUUUAUAAAAUGAAGGUAUUUUUAUUUUUUCCUAAUUGAAUUGGUAUUUAUUUAACUCGUGCCAAUUAUUUUAUGAAGUAAACAAAAACAUGAAAUUGGGUUUUAUGAUUAAAUGUAUUGUAAUUGAUGAAUGAGUAAAUGGUAAAAUGAUGUGACGUCAAAUGUAUGACGCAAAUGUCAUGUAUCAAAUUGUUUGAAACAGUCUUAAGGCUCUUUGGGUCACACUGUUCAGUGUGUUUCACACUUUUCUAUGCUCAACUGCACCUGAUUUGCUAUUUGGAUCGAGGUGGUAUUUUAGAUUAAUUUUUUAAGUUUGGAUUUGAUUUAAAAUAUAAAACUUUAAGAUUUAUAUUUAGUAUAAUAACAUAUUUAUUAGAUUUAUUUGUUAAAAUAAUAUUUAGUAUUUAUUAUGGUUAACUAUAAAAAUAAUUUAAUAUUAUUUAUCAUUUAAUAUAACAAAUAAUUUAAAGUGGUUACAAAACAAAAAAAUAUUUAUAAAAAUAUGGUGAUAGAUAUUAUUUUAUUAAAUAAAAUUAAAAUUUCACAUGUUUUCAAUAAUUUUAUAAAAGUAAAAAAAAAAACUUUCUAUUAUAUUUAUUUUUUUAAUGUAAUGUUAUUAAUAGUAAUUUUUUAUUUUCACCUUACCGUUAUAGUUGUAGUUGAAUCCAAACACAUGUCUUACUGUUGAUUUUGAUCUCACUAUUACAGUAUUCAAUCUCACUGCUAUAAUAAUUACUCACUGUCACUAUUGUUUUUCACCUCACCAGAAUCAAACUCACCGUCUAUCUAAAGGAUUAGAAAAAUUAAUAAUGGUUAGAAUUAUGGUAUAAUUAAUUCAAAUUUUUCAAAAAAACUCUAAAAAUUCAAGGCUUCAAGUUGGUUUAAGAAAAACAUGAAUUAUUUUCAAGUAACAUGUGAAAUAUAUUCGAAAGCUAACUGAAUUAUUAAAAAAAAGUAUUUAAGGGUGAGUUUGGAUGGGCGGUUUGUUUACCUGUGGUUAGUGUAAAAACAGCGGUAGUGGUGAGAUUAGAUACUGUAGCAAUACUGUAGCGUGAGAUAAAAAGUAGGCUAAACGCACCGCACCACACCUAAUCGCCCAUCCAAACCCACCCUAAGUCAUUGGCUUUUUUUUUUUUUAAAUCUGCCUAGUGAGCUCUAAUUGGCAAUUCGACUAUCAGUAUGGUAGAUUAGUACUCAUCGACAAGUAGAAGAUCAUUUCUUAGAUUUAGUUUGAUCUGGCAAUCAGUGCCGAAGAUCGAAGAAGAAAAUUGUGUGAAAUUUAGUUCGUAAAUCCGUAACGUUCAAAAUUGUUUCAUUAAAAAAACUGAACUGUAGAAGAAAAGGUGAAUGAGAGCUUUCGAUUGGUGCAGGCGAUACGAACAAAAAAUGCCAUAAAACAACGGUUUUAAUAGCCCAAUGACUUAAAUGAAAACUUUCGAAUAUUUCAAUUACCUUUUUGUAAUUUUCUAAAGUUGGAUGAUCAAAAUGUAAUUUUUUAUCUAUAAAUAGAGCUAAGCUCUCAACAAAAUUUUCAGACUUUUGGAAGUUCCAGGGGCCUUUAUUUUUUAGGAAAUCAUAAAUUAAUUAAUGGUAAAAUUAUACUUUGCCUCCUAAAUUUUAUUUAUUUAUUUUUGGCUUCCUAAAACAAUUUUCUAGCUUUACCUCUGAUGAGUUUCUUCUUAAGUAAUAUAAUUUAAAAUCAUUACUAAAAUCUUAAUUUAACUAUUAAAUGAGACAUCUCAUUGUAAUAGGCCCAAUUUUCCUGGCCCGCUAUUGAAAUAAAUAAUAAAAAAAACAAAUAAAAUAAUAGUCCAAAUAACAAAAAAAAUUCACCAAACCCAAUUUGCCUAGACCCUAGACCAAACCUAAACCUGAUUCUUAGCCCAGCAAACCAACUCAGCCCAAAUGGCCCAACACCAGAAUGCACAACAGCAAAUCCUAGCAGCAUUCAGCCUCCAACGCCGCAGCCACGCCUCCGAGUCACUCCACGCCAGCCUAUGCCUCAGUACGCAUUGAGCCACGUCACGCAUACCCGUCCCUGCAGCAAAUAACAAGACAACAUCAAAAGAAGAAGAAAAAAAAGCAAAAAAACGAUAACAACAAAAGAAAAAAAGGAAAAAAGAGGGUUUAUUUUUUAUUUUUCGGGCUAUAAGAGCCUUAUUUUCUCAUGUACUCAAGGGGGGAGACUGUAUUAAAAAAAAAAAAGAAAUCAAUACAAAAAAGGUUUUCUUUUUUCCUCUUUUCGGUUCUAUUCCUUUUCCGAUUGCUUUUUCUCUUUUUUUUUGUUUGUUAGUAAUAACAUAUUUAAGCAUAUAUAUAAAAUAAAAAGGGAGGAGAGUUCAAAAACUUAUAUAAAAUAAAAAGGGAGGAGAGUUCAAAAACUUUACCUGGAUCGGUGAGUCGCCGAAUCCCUCCUCCGUUCAAGCCAAGAUUGAAUAGGUGAGGGGGGGUUUCGACACUGAAGCGGCGCCAGGAGUUUAGUUUUCUUUUAGGUUUUUUUUUCUUAAAAAAUGACUGAGAGCUUUAGGUUUUAUGUUUAUUUUAGCUUAUAUAGUGUGAAAGAAACGAUGUCGUUUAGUGUCCUUGGACCCACGCGGUGACCCGACCCGGGGCAGGAUCUGCGCAUUCUGGUUCAUUGGACUAUUUGUGAAAUCAGUCCUCUUUUGUCUUGUAUUGUUCUAAUUCGAUUUUCUACAGUUUUUUCGAUUUAUACCGUAUGAUUUAAUCUGGUUUCAAUUCGGUUCAUAGUUAAACGGCGACGUUUCCAUUAUCUGAAUUUGAAUGUUUGAACCAUUGCGUUUAAUUGUGGUUUUAGUCCUCAUGUUUUCGAUUGAUUGCAAAUUUAGUCUUCCAAGUGCUGUAAUUUCGAUUCAAUUAUUGUUUUUUUUAAAUUUUAUCUUUAUUUCUCAUUAAUCAUAAUGUUUUGUUAAGUUUCAUAAAUAUUAUUGGCUCUUAUAGUGAAUAUAUUAAAGAAAAUUUCAUUCAAAUUUAGUUUUUUUUAUAUAUAUAUAUAUAACAUAAUGUAAAAUUAGCUUAGUAUUUUUAAUAUGUUUAUUUUUAAAAAGUUUUAAAUAUUAGGAUUAACAUUGUUUUCAAACAUUUUUAUCAUAAUUUUAAGGUACAACAUAUUGUUAUUUAAAAUUAUUAUUAACAUGUUUUGAGUUUAUUAACAUUGUUUUAAAAUUUAUCCUUUUUAUUUUAAAACUUUAUAUCAUUAUAUGUUUCAACAUCUAUAUAUAGCAAUUUGACAGACUUUGAACAUAUUUUAGUAAUUCAUUUUGUGUUAUAACUUAAUUUUCUUUUAAUAUAAUGUUUUUAAAUGCUACUAUAUGUGCUAUUAAAUUAUUUCAAAAUAUAUAUAUAUAUAUAUAUAUAUAUAUAUAUAUUAUUGUUUUGAUGUUUAAUAUCAUCAUGAUUAUAUGUAUAUAUGUAUUUUAAGUUGAUUUGAUUUAUAUAAUCUAUUUCUUUCAAAACCUAUUUGGGUAAUUACUUAUUUCUUUUAAGUCAUACAUGCAUUGAGACCCUUUCAUAGUUAAUUUAUGUGUAUUAUUUAAGGUGGAUUAAUAAAUAUAUUUUAAGUUCAUUUCGAAAUGCUAUUAUACGAAGUACUAUUUUUUAAUUCGUGAAUAAAUCCUUUUUAGAACUUGUGUGCUUAGAUUUUGUUAGGUGAAAUUCCUCUCUUAUUAUCUUGGAUAUACUUUAGAAUUUGAUGUUCGAUUGUCAAUGUUAGCAUUAGUAUGAUAUUAUUAAAACUAUUAUUGCUAUUCUUUAUUUGUAUUUAUUUAUCGCUUAUUUGCCACUUCUAGGUCUAAGUUUGAAUUAUCAUUUAUCUUUUGCAUCACAUAUUUCUUUUAAAAUUUCUCUUUUCAUUCUAUUUCAUAUUAAAAAGGCUUAGCGUUUAUAAUUCUCAAGAGAAUUGUGCCCUAACUUACUGGGUUCCAAUUUUUCUCGAGGAAUUUAAAUAGUCAUGUGAUUAUUUUAUCUAAACCAUAUCAUUUUAACUAAGCAUUUAGGAUUUCAAAAUGUCGGAUCCUAACUUACCGAAUGUGACAUUCUGUUAUCCUGAUUUUAAAAUAAAGGCAAUGUUUGACGUUUAAGAACUUCGAGAAAUCGAAACCUAACUUACUGGAUUCUGAUUUCUCGUUUGACUUAAAUGACCGAACAACCUUCUCAAAAUGCAUGAAUUUUAAAUUUAAAAACUAAAAAGACUUACUUAAUUUUGACGAUUGAAUUGUUGCACCCUAACUCACUGAGUGUGACAAUUUAUUUCUUCAAAAUAAGUACAUCUCAUUAUUCAACUUGGUUUAUUCAAAACUUCAAAGGAUCGUAUUUCAAAAUCUUUUUAAUUUUUCGACCUUAAGACAUUAAACAAUCAAUUUGGUACCAAUUUUGUGCGUUACGAGAGUGCUAACCCUUCCUCGUACGUAACCGGCUCCCGAACUUAUUUUCUCAAAUUUCGCAGACCAAAAAUCAUUUUUAAUGGUGAACCGGUCAAACAUCAAUAAAAGAUCGGUGACGACUCCCAUUUUAUUUUCAAAGUCGAUCCCCGUUUUUCAAAAUUAUUAAAAAUGGUUUCGACACUCAUCUUACGUGAAAUAAUUUAAAAUGAAAAAUUUAAAAAUAGAUGUUGUAAAAGUCUUGGUUUUAAAGUUUUCGAAGCUUAAAAAAAAACGGGUUUUUUACCCAAAUAUAUUAAAAAAUUAAAUACCUAAAUAGGUUCUCAGCUAGAUUAAUUACCGAAAUAGUACGUUUACUUUAAUAGUGCCUAUCUGACAGGUGCGAAUCAAUUUUUUAUAUUAAAAAUAUUUUUUUGUUUAAAUAAAAUAUUGAUUUUUUAUUUUUAUUAAAAAUAUUUAAAUAUAUAUACAGGUAAAAAUACGGUCAACGGGUCAAAAUACGGGUAAAAAACGAGUCGCGCCUGUCAGAUAGGCGCGACUAAUCGAGCCUGACAGGGAGGCGCGAAUGGUCUGCUGCAUGCCCCCCUCCCCCGCUGCUAGCAGCUGUUGCUGCACCAUGCUGUUGUUGUCCCUUCAAUGCUGCUGCUGUCCCUUCAAUGGGAAAAAGUUGCAAAUGGGGGACCUUAUAAGCAUGGUCCCCCAAACCCCAUCCACCGAAAGAGAGAAAGAAAAAAGAGAAAGGAGAAGAGAAGAAGAAGAAGAAGAAAAAGAAGAAAGAAAGAAAAAGGAUAAUGUAUUAUUUUAGUAAAUAAUUUUGUUUAUAAUUUAAAGAGUUUAAUUAAAAAAAUGAUUGUAGAAAUAUUGAAGAAUAUAAAUCAAUUGUUAACAUACCAAUACUUAACAACAACUUAAAAAAAUUAAAAAAUUGAUAAUAAUACAUUAAUAGUAUCAAUUAAAAGCGUUUCCUAAAACUCAUAAUUAAGAUUCUUAUUUUGAGCAAUGAGAGUAGAUUUUGGCUGUGUGAAAAAAAUAUGGGAUAUGGAUAUUUUUAUAUAAUGUAAUUUUAUUUGAUUUUAUUUAUUUAUUUAAAAUUUUUUAUUGAUUUAUUAAAAUAUUGAUUAAAUUUGUUGUUAUAUAAUUUUAUAGGUUGUUUGAAAUAAACUACUCGGGUAUGUAUCUAUUUCUAUUUUUAUUUUUUUAAUUCGUAUGUUUUUAUGUUUAGAUAGUUUAUAUUAAUUUUAAUUAUAUUAUUAUUGUAAUCUAACAUAAUUUUUUUUAUUGUAGGUAAAUUAUGGGAAAUUAUUAGACAUUUACCAUGUUUUGUUUCUGAAAUUUGAAAUAAUUUAUUGUAUUUUUUAAAACAAAUUAAAUGAAUUCAUUUUUUUAAUUGCAGAUUUGCAGCAAAUAGGUUCUUUGAUUAAUAAUAAUAAUCACAUAUCAAGUACUAUUAAUGAGAUGGUAAUAAAAUUUUUAUUUGAUACUUAUGUUAUUUGCUGAAUUAAAUUAUAUUGUAUUAAAUAUUUUGCUAAUUUAAUAAUGUCAGGGUUCGUACCGCGUAUUGAGGGGCCGUGUUAAUAGUGUAGAGUUUCUGCUAGAUGAACACCUAAUACCAUACUUAGAGUUAGCCGGGUUCAGAUCAGUGGCAUUGAUCCAGACUUUUGAUCUACGAUACGACUUGAUUUUCGCUUUAGUCGAGCGAUGGCGUCCGGAGACCCACACAUUUCAUUUGCUGUGCGAGGAGUGUACCGUCACUCUAGAGGAUGUUGCACUUUAGCUCGGGCUUUCCAUCGACGGGAAUGCGGUCACGGGCGUAAGCUCAAUCUCUAGGUCGGCUACCUUUUGCUAUGAAUUACUUGGAUGCUCGCCAAGUGAGGGGAAAUUUACCAGUUUGAGAUUUUCAUGGCUAAAGGCCAAUUUUGAGCAUUUGCCGAGUACUGCCAAUGAAUGGGAGGUGAUGCAGGCCGUUCGAGCUUACAUUAUGCACCUUAUAGGGGGUGUACUCAUGCUGGAUUCAAACGGCAAUACAACCCACUUGAUGUACUUACCCUUAUUAUCCAAUUUGCAUAACACCCGUUCAUACAGUUGGGGGUCCGCAAUUUUAGCCAUGCUGUAUCGCGAACUUUAUCGGACGACAGAUCCUUCUGCUAUAGACAUAGGCGGAUGCCUCAUACUGCUGCAGUCGUGGGCACUUUACCGGAUGCCAUUCUUGGCAUCCAUUAGUCACCAAUCAUAUAUAUUUUCACUUGUUAAUAGGUGAUGAAUUUUUACUCGUUAUAAGAACUAGUUGACUUUUUUUCAGAUUAUAUUGUUCUAACAAUUUGUUUUCGUAGAUGGAGUACUAAUCCGAGUACCGGGAGGUCAUACACGGUUCCAGUAUACCGUCUGAUGAUUGUGAAUCAUGCUGGAGAGGGGGUAAGUUUUUCCAAUAUAAACUUAAUUUUAUUAUUUUAUCUCACUCAACUCACGUUAAUAUAACAAUGUUAUUAACUGUGCAGUUCAUUUGGAUGCCGUAUUCUGUUCCAGAAAUUAUGGCGGUUAUUCCCUCAUCUGCCCACGUCCACUCAAACCUAUGGUGCAUUAAUGUACCCGUUAUCAAUUUUCAGGUAGAGGAGUGGUAUCAUGGCGAUCGAGUACUCCGACAGUUCGGUUGCAUACAGUAUAUCUCGACACUGCCAGUACGAUUGGGGGAGAUCCAUGGGAUGAGUAGGAGGGGGAGGUAUGGAAAUGAUUGGGGAGAAGUGCAUGAAGAAUAUAUUACUGUAUGGAACAAUCGAUUGGGGAGGGUACCUCAGAUGGAUCGUGCUUUGGAUCUGUAGCCCUCGUUAGAGUACAUACAAUGGUACUGUGAGAUAGAAGUGCUCAUGGGCCGGGUGGCCCGGCCCGGCCCGACGGCCCGCCCGAAAUAUGGGAGGGUUUGAGUAAAAAUAUAGGCCCGAAAUAUGGGCUUGGGCAAAAAAACGAGGGCCGAUUAAAAAACGGGUCGGGCCUCGGGCACCACUUUUUUGGCCCGGGCCAGGCCCGACCCGAAUAUAAUAAUUUUUUUUAUUUUUUUAAAUUUUAAAAUACUUUUAAAAUACUUUUUUAAAUUUUUUAAAUUUUAAAAUAUUUUUAAAAUAAUUUUUUUUAUUUUUGUUUUAAUUUUUAAAAUAAAUUUUUGGUAUUUAUUUAAAAAAUGGGCCGGGCCCGGGCUUAUGAAUUUUUUCUCGAGCUGGGCCUGGGCAAAAUUCUAGGCCCAUAUUUCGGGCCCGGCCCGGCCCAUGAGCACCUCUACUGUGAGAUAGGGAAACCAUUUUUGUUUGGUGGGCGGUCCAUGGUAGUCCUUCCGCAUACGACACGAAUUAGGCAACCCCUUCCAGAUCCGCAUCAUGCACUAGAGACAAAGCUGGAGCCGGAGGCAGAGACGGAACUACAUUCUAGGGAUAGUUUUUAUCAUCCAGAUUUGGGGAGCGAUGAUUAUUUCCCGGGCUCGUCAGGCCACGGAUAUCAUUCAGAGCUUGAUAUCUUCAGCCCACUACCACCUCAGUACUCCAGUCAUCCUAGCUCGUAUCCACCUCAGUACUCUGCUCCUUCCAGCUCGUAUCCACCUCAGUACUCCACUCCUUCCGGCCCGUAUCCACCGCCGUACUCCGUUCCUCCCGGCUUCAUCGAUGACAUUUGAGACAUAUGAUUUUUCAUCUAUGUUUUGCACACCCCUACAUACGGAUGAUGAGAACAUUAAUCACCGUAAUCGCCCGUAACGUGAACGUCGAGCUCCACAAAAAUAUACCCUUAGAACCACACCAUCAAACCAUCAAUUUUAGGGGAAAAUUGAUUGACUAUCGAUAUAAAUAACUUCAUAUUUAUGUAAUGAAUAUAGUUGAUUGAUUAUCAACAUACGAUAUCGGAUGGGGAAAAAAUUAAGCAGCAGUGGACCCCACCAUUCGCGCCUCUGAGUUAGGCACAACUACUCGUGCCUGUCAGAUAGGCUCAACUAGUCGCACUUCUAAGAUAGGCUCAACUAGUCAACUUGUAUUUCAUAUUUAUAUCCGGGUUAUAUAUUGAUCCGGGAAAAAAAUUAAUAAUAUUUUAUUUAAACAAAAAAGUAUUUUUUAAUAUAAAAAAUUAAUUCGCGCCUGUCAGAUAAGCUCGAUUAAAGUAAACGUACCAUUUUAGUAAUUAAUCUAGCUGACAACCUAUUUAGGUACUUAAUUUUUUAAAAAUAUAUUUGGGUAAAAAACCCAAAAAAAAACUAUUGCUCACUCUCUCUCUUUUUUAUUUUAUUUUAUUUUUAGUUUUUAAUUUUUAAAAUUAUGCUGCAACAUUCUACUCUUCUUUAAAAUUUUCAUUUUAAAUUAUGUUACAUAAGAUUUUACAUGCCAUUUAAUGAUUAAAUUAAUGGCUUCAAUAAUAAAGGACCUGAUUGAUAUUAAAUUAAAAGUUUAGAGAUAUAUUUAGAAUAUUUUAAAAUUUAAGGACCAAAUUAAAAUGAGGUCAUAGUUGCAAGAUGUGUGGAGCAAUUAACUCGAAUAAAUUCCCAAUCAAUCAAUUUGUCCCUACGUUCCCACUAACAAACAGAAUCACUCAUAUACCCACGCUUUACGAUCGCGCGUUAUUCCACGCAAAAUGCACCCAACAUUUCUAACAAUUUGCACGUAGUGCUUUGUUUUUUCAUUGGUUUUUAGUUCCGGCCUAUGUAUACUUUAUGAAUUAGGGCUCCUUUGGAUCACCAACAAGUUUCAGUGUGAUGAGAUUUAAAGAGUGAAAAAAAUUUGAACUGAAACGCGGCUCUAUUUGGGGUGUUUGGCAAGCACACCAGUAAGCAUUUUUCACAUCACUGUAACCCAAAAUAUUGGCUGGAGUUAAAAGCUUCAAUGGAUUGAUUUGGAAGUCCAAAAAUAAGAGUAAUUAUUAUUUUACCCCUCCAAUUCUUCCUUUAUUAUUUAUUUUAUUUAAAACAGAUAACAUAAGUUUAAUAUGUCAUUAUUUAAUAUGAUUUAAUUUACAAUAAAAUUAUAAUUUUUAUUUAUAAAUUUAGUAUAAAUACAAUUUAAUUUAUAUUUUAUUAUUUGAUUCAAAUAUAAUCUGUAAAAUAUUUUGAUAUUUUAUUAUGAAUAUAAUCUGUAAAAUAUUUUGAUAUUUUUGAAUUUUUCUCUAGUUUUAAUUUAUUUUUAAUUAUUUAUUAUUAAAAAUAAAUAUAAUUGUAAUAAUUUUUAAUUAUUUAUUAAUUUUGUAAUUGUUAAAUAAUUUUAAAAACUUCUAUUAUAUAUCAUUUUUAAUCUAAUGUCCUUAAAAAUCAUUUUCUAUUUUCACCUCAUCGCUACAGCUGCGUUUGAAUCCAAACACACACUCCACCGCUAUUUCUAAUCUCACCGCUACAGUAUCCAAUCUUACCGCUACAGUACCUAAUCUCACUGCCACCGCUGUUUUUAACCUCAUCGGAACUAAACACACCGCCCAUCCAAACCCACCCUUAAUUUUGUUUGGGCAUAUUUUAUAAAAUUUUAAGUUAUUAAUGGUAAAAUUAUGUUUUAACUCCUUUAAAAAUGAUAAAAAUUUGAUUUAAUUUUUUAAAAAUUAUAAAGAUAUACGCUAUUAAAAAUGAUAAAAUUGAACUUUUACUAUUGUAAAAAUAUACGAUUUAAUUUUGACUCCAAAAAAUUUUGUUGACUUCACCCAUGAGUGUAGUGUAUUUAUAACAGUGAAACUUGGAAAAAAUUAUAAUUCAACUUGAUUUGGCUAGAAUAACAAUAUAAUAAUUAAAAAAUUAUUUAAAUUUAAUUAUAAAAUAUAAAUAUUAUUAUAAAUUAAUAUUUUAUUUUAAAUUCACAAGUUAAGCUGAAAAAUAGUUCUAAAAGAAAUUUUGGAUUCAUGACUCGGCUUUUGUAACAUGUGUCUCGUGUUGAAUGUAUUUUAGCUUAUAUUAUAGGAAUAAUAUUUGGUGAAUUGUCAAUAGAAUUUUUAAACUAUACAAACAAGAUUAGGAGAUGGACAAACACCGUAUAAAAAUAUAAUAAAAUAUUAAAAAUGAAUAUUAGGAGAAACACAUUAAUUUUUUCAAAUUAGUUGACGUAAGAAAUACUAACCCUAUAUAAUAAAUGUUUUAAAAGAUUCUUAUACUUGUGUUUGAUGUUUUUUUUAAAUAUACACGUGUUAAUGUAAUUUUUGUAUAAUAAUUAUUUUUCUAAUUUUAAUGUUUGAUCAUAUCUAAUUUAGUAAUUUCAAAUUCAUCGUGUAUCCACGCGCUAGAACGCGAGUCCGAAUCUCAUUUCCCUUCUCAUUUUCGAAAUUCCAGCUUUAAUUUUUAUUUUCCUUUUAUCUAUUCAGCCGAAUCCUAAAGAAAACCCCUCUUUGACAGCUUUAUGGCCACCAGAAUCGACGGCGAUUCCUCCCGAAAAAUCAUCCCCGACCCGACCCGAAUAACCAAUCCCUCGAUAACUCUUCGGAUCCUCAAUCCUUGCUCCAUUCCAGGUGAGUUAAGGAACUCUUUUUAUAUUUUAUUUUAUGAUCUUUUUACCUAGGAUUUUAAGCCACUGUAGUUUUAAAAUUGAAAUUAGAGUGGAAGGGAAGUUAAUGAAUUUGGCUAUUUUGGGAGGUGUUUGCUUUUUCAAUUACAAUUCUUGAGAGAAAAGAACCAAAUUAUGUAACUAGUUGACAUUUCCCAUUCGGGGAAAUUGAUGUGAAAAAUGGUGGAAGAAAUUAGGGCUGUGAAUUCAGGGUUUUAUGUAUUUAUCCCUAAUAUUGAGAGAAAGUUGCGAGGAAAUUAGUGAAAUUGGUAUGUUUCUUUCUUCUGCCUUCUUUAAAUUUUUGUUGAUUUUGAUGUUAAAAUCAAGGUACCAUGGUGGCAUUAUGAUCCAUAUAAUUGACUCUGCACUGCGUGAAAAGGGCAAAUUUUCUUUCUUUUUGUUUAUAAAGAUGUAGGAAUGAUGAAAUUCUUGUCCGUUGAUUGGGCGUUUUAAUGGAUUUGAGUGGUGUUUACCUUGUAUUCUUAUUUGUAGGACAAUAACAUUUACUCAUAGUUGAAUUGUUUCUAAAGGUUCAUCAUCCGGUUCUCUGCUCACGGGAUUGUUUUUAUUGUCCAUGGAUCACUGAAAUGAUUGUUUAAUCCUUAUAGUUUCAAAAAGUUUGAUUUUGUUUUACUCUUGUUUCUCUUACGUGAUCAGGUUUUUAAAAGUCUAAGCGCAAUGGAUGAUGUAACUGAUUUGACUGGUGAUGGAGGUGUUAUUAAGAAGAUCGUAGCAAGAGCCAAAGUGGGUGCGCUCGCCCCUUCCGAGGAUCUUCCGAUGGUUGAUGGUAUGCACUUGUUGCUCGCAUGAAGUUUACAGUUGGUUUCUAUGAUGAGUGAUAUUUUAUUCAUCCAUUCAUAUAUAAACCUUUGCUGAAUUUCACCGGGAAUGAUAACGUGUUUGGUCAGCUUGAAAUUUCGUUUUCUUUUAUCUUUAUAUAUUUCUGCAGUCCAUACUCCAAAUAUAUAAAUUAGCAUUCCCACAAGAUUCCGGAUUUGUAAAAUUUGCUUCUUUGUUGUUUGAACAGUUCAUUAUGAAGGUACCCUAGCUGAAACUGGUGAAGUUUUUGAUACAACACAUGAAGAUAACUCUGUUUUCUCCUUUGAGCUUGGAAAGGGCACGGUUAUUCAGGCUUGGGACAUUGCUUUAAAAACUAUGAAGGUCAAAAUAUAAUGUCUCUAUGUCGUUUUUAAGUUAUUUAGGCUUAUCUGACAUAUCUUUUUUUCCCUUUUCGGCAGGUUGGUGAAGUUGCGAAAAUAACUUGCAAGCCAGAGUAUGCCUAUGGUGCUGCCGGAUCUACCCCCGAUAUCCCACCCAAGUACUUGAUUCUUAUUUUCAUCUUUUAUUGUUAUUAUAAUGCAAUUGGCUUGUCAAUGGCUAUGAUGGCCGAAACAUGAGAUAUUGAAUUAGCACUAUAUUUUGUUUACGGAUAUAGUUAGGACCUAUUUUGUUCAGAUUCAGACUCUUCUUUUCUUGAAGUACCGGUGUCUGAUAUCCGCAUCUAAUGCAUAUCCGGGCAUGGUAUGGGAUACCUGUUUCAGAACAUAUCUGCAUCCUAUUUCCACCUGAGUCCGAGUAUAAUAGUCAGGAUGAUUGUGAUUUGCUAGGGUAUUUAACCCAGUAAUCGGGCCAUUUGUAUUUCUCUAAUUUCCUAUGAAUGAAUGUGAUUUCAUAUUUUGUAUACAGUGCUACCCUUAUCUUCGAGGUGGAGUUACUGUCCUGCAGGCCACGCAAAGGUUCCAGUCUCGGUAGUGCUUCGGCAGAGAGAGCUAGGCUAGAGUAAGUCACAUUUCUUUUCCCCCUCCUUAUUCUGCUCGUAUUCUUGCGUAACUCUCAUUGUAUAGAUCUUGUCUAAUACAUGGAACAAUAAGAACUUUGUUUUAACAUUCGUUAAACUUAAAAUCAGGGAGCUGAAGAAGCAGAGGGAAAUUGCUGCUUCGGUGAAGGAGGAAGAGAAAAAGAAGAGAGAAGAAGCGAAAGCUGCCGCAGCUGCUCGUAUUCAAGCCAAGUUGGAGGCCAAGAAAGGUCAAGGAAAAGGUAAAGGCAAAGGCAAAUAGUUAAAGAAGGAUUUUAUAUUAGAUAUAGACUGAUAAAAAAACAAAUGUUAAACUGAUAAAGUUUCAUGUCAGCCAUUUUAAUGGUGAUAUUGCUUACUGUUAAUGUUAGAAAAUGGUCACUAUAACCCUCUUGUUUCUGGUGCUUAGCUACUAUGUUAAUUAGAGCUCUUCCAGAAAUUAGCUAGUCGAUUAGACUUAUACUUGGUAAUCUUAGACACGAUAUGAAAACAUGACCACGAGCAUGACUAGUUUGGCAAACACGUUAACACAUUUUUAAUACAUACAUUGUAUUUCUAUUUAGGGUUUUUACACAUUCUUGAUAAUGUUACACGAUGUGAAAACUCGAGCACUAGCAUGACAUCGACACAAACAUAAUAAAUGCAUUUAAUAAAAGCUCUAAUUUCAGAAUUUUUAACAAGUUUUCAUAAAAUCAAAAUAUGGAUUAUAAAUAUUUUAAUAUAAUUAAUAUUACAAUGAAAAAUUAAGUACCAAUAUGGUCGUACGAUCAAAGGUCCAUCUUUAUUUAUAAAGAUGGGCCCUGAUUGGACUAUGUUGGCUUCAUUCUGAACUUCAAAAAAUGUCUCUUCCAUUUUAAUCCUUUGGUGGGUUCCUUUUUUUUAAAGGUCCAUCUCUAGUUGUUGACCGGCAAUAUCACACCUGAUCUCUGCAAAUCCAACCCUUGAUUUCACCAAAUCAAAUUCCAUCCACACAUUUUGUUGAUGAUGAUGGCCAAUCACGAACGCUUCAAUACCUAAUAGAUCAGAGUUCCCAAAUGUGAAGCAAUAUACUGAAUCACUCCCCUUAUUCAUCUCGGGUACUUGAUAUAAUAGCCUCUCGCCCGAUAUGCUCAUCUCGGCUCCUUGAAACAUCAAACUAACUCGUGGUAAAUCCGAAAAAAUCGUACCGGGUGACUCGUCAACUUGGUAACAUAAGUCCAUUGGUUCUUGGAAAACAAAGUUCGGAUCCUCAAAAACUCGUAAAACCUCUCUUGUUUGUUGCAAAAACUCGUUUCUUAACGCGGUAUAAACCGGACCCAUUAAGAAAGUAAAUUGGGUGCCCGAAUCAACCAUUGUUUGACCUGCACCCGUGUGAUCCGGUAAAAAAGCGGAUCUUGGUAGGUCCAACAUUUUGUUCCCAACUUUAAUACCUUCUAAUUGCACCGUAUAUGCAACCCGAUCAAAAUAUGGAAAUGGAUCGGAUAUUUGAAUCAAAGGAGUAUAAUUUAACGUUUUAAGCCACGAGAAUCUCGUAUCGCCGAGAAGUAAAACACCAGACGAGUCAAAACCCGAUAUACAGUACGAGAAUUUGGGAAAACCCAUUUGACUCACGAAUGAUAAGGACCCACGGUUCAUGCCCAUUAACCCGGUUGCUUUCGAAUCUUCAUCUGAAUUCGAGCUAAAACCUGAGUCCAUACACCCGAAUAAAAACCCGGGUCGGACGGAGGACCCGAUUACAAAAUUCUCAUACGCGAGAGUUCCCUCAAUUGAGGAAGCGUCGGCAUAAGAGACAGCCACGUGGCACAGCUUAUUAUUCGGUUCGCAGGAAGCGGGUACGAGUAAGUCUCGGGUACGGGUUUUACAAAUGGGUGAAGCGCAAGGGAUGUGAAUGUAAGACUUGGAAAGUUCAGGGGUAAAAACGGAAUUUAAGUUGGGAAAUUUUUUGCAGUGAAGCCAUGAGAGUUCACUCCCAGUGUCGAGGACCAUAGUGACAUUUUGUGGCGGCGAGCCGACGGAUAAAGAAACUGUUAAAGUAACGUUAUGGUGGAAGCCAAGCUUGUUGGUGGCGGCGGCGGAGGAAAGUUUAGAGUUACAGGCAAAGGUAAGUGGGGGUUGACCAAGGGUUGUUUUGAGAGGUAAAAAGAGUGUUGUUUGUUUGGAAGGAAAAUAAAAUUUUUGAUGGAAAACAAGGAGGAAAAUUGUCAAAUGAAGCAGAAAAUGAAAAGAAGACAUUGAUUUAGGCUUCGUUUGGAUGGGCGAUUGACUGCGGUAAGGUGCGUUUAGCUUACUUUUUGUCUCACGCUACAGUAUCGCUACAGUAUCUAAUCUCACCGCCACCGCUGUUUUUAUACUAACCGCAGCUAAACGCACCGCCCAUCCAAACUCACCCUUAGUUUUGGGAAAAGAGUGCUUUGAUCUUCGGUUUUGUUUUGUACGUAAAAUGUAACUGUUGUUUGAAAGUUUUUUGAGUUUCGUUUAGCUUUGGUUCCUUAAAUAGUGGUAGCAAAAAUCAUUAUUCUUUUUUUAAAAAUUAAAUAAAAUAGAAAAAUUGAAGGAAAAAAAUUGUUCUAUUUAUUUAUAUUUUUUUAAAAGAAAAUUCUUAAAUUGGUCAUACGAUUUUCUUUUUUUGAAACUCCAGCUAUUUACACCUGUUUUUCCAUUGCAUUUUAAAAAUGUUUUCAGAGCAAAAAAACACUUUUUGCAUCAUAAGCAAUAAAAAGUAAUGCACUUUUAUGUAUAGAAAAAAGUAAUUUUAAAGUAAAAUGAUACUUUUAUCUUUUAUUUUUUUAUAAUAUUUACAUUGAAUAUACGGUUAUUUUUUAUUAAAGUAUUUUUUAAUAUUUAAAAUAUAAUUUAUAUAGUUAAAUUAAAAUUUAUUAACAAUUCACAUUAAUUGCUUUAAAAUAUUUAAAUUUAUAUUUCUUAUAUCAAAAUAUUAAUAAUAUUGUUUUCUUAUAUUUUUACUGAAAUAUUGUAAUAUUAAUGAAAUUUAAUAUUAUUUAAAUAUAUAUUUUUACUUUAUAACGUCUAAAAUAGAUAUUCUUUUUCUUCUUAAAAACACAUUUUAACAACAAUACAAUCCACUUAAAUUUUAAAUUAAAAUUUUCAAAAAUACUUUCUCACCGUGCUUCUCAAAAUAUAAUGAAAAACUAACCCUUAAUAUAUAUUCACGUAUAGGUAAGAUAAGGUGGUAAUAUUUAUUCAUGUUUGUAUUUUUUUCCAUGUAAAGUAUUUUUGAUAAUUUUAAAUAACAAUUAAAAUUUUUAGAAUACUUUUUUAUGUACUUUUUCAUCAUAUUAAUUUAAUUUAUUCAAGUUUUUUUUUUUGGUAAAAUCUUGCAAUUUGGUUUUUAACCGGUUGGCACUUGGGUCGUUGGUUCACCUCUUUUUACCUUUGUGGGGCAACACUAGAGGGUUAGUAGAGGUCUUGACCUCUCUAAAAUAGAAAUUUUUGAUUUUUAAAAAUUUAUGAAAUUUUAAAUUAGUACAUAUUAAAAUUACACUUUGACUCUCUAAAAAUGAUAAAAUUUUGAUUUAUUCCUUUAAAAAUAUAAACUAUUAAAUGAUAAAAUUAUAUUUUAGCUCUUAUAAAAUAUACUAUUUAAUAUUACCUAAAAAAAAAAUCCUAGCUUCGCUUGGCGCUCUCAAUCUAUCUUGUCAUUUUGUCAUUAGUCCCUCUGUCUUGUCGAUUUAGCUAUGGAUGACCUUUGGGAAAGGGCUUCAUGCCUUCUUCCGAUAGUGGUGCGUAGGUGGUUGUCACCCCUCGGGUUUCCCGUCAUCCACUUUCCUUGCCUUUCAUUUUCGUUUUUUUUUUCUUGGCAUGAUAAUGCCACAAGUACUUGUACUCUUUGAAAUUUUAGACUUGAGUCCAUGUACUUCUAUUUUCAAGAAUACAAUCUUUAAAUUUUUUAAAUUUCAAAAUUCAGUUUCAACUGUUAUUAUCAUUAUUAUUAUUUGUUAAAUUCAAAUUCAUUAUAAUGUCAUUUUUUAAUUACAUGUUUGUCAAGUAAGUAUUUUUUAUUUCAAAAUAUCAAAUCAACAAAUUAUUUCUCAAAAAAAUUAAUAGCAUUAACAAUUGAAUCUGAAUUGAAAUCUGAAAAGUAAAAGAACCGAAAUUUUAAAAAUUAAAAUAUAUGAAUUAAAUUUUUAAAUUUAAAAAAAUACAACAACUUAUAGCAUACUUUAAUUAUUAUUAUUUUUUGAAUCAAUGCAUACUUUAAUCUUUGUUUUUUUGAACAAACAUACUUCAAUCUUUUAUUUGUGAAGGUUGGGGUCCUUUAUCAUGUUGAAUAUGAGGGAAAUGGAUUUAGGUUUUUUCUUGUGUUUUUUUUUGAGGGUUAGAUUGUUUAAGUGUAUUGUAUAUUUUUAAUUAACUUUUUUGGUAAUAUAUAAUUAAAAUAUUAAUUAUUCAUCGAAAGUUUGAAUUCAAGUGAAUUUUAUGGGUGAACAUCUCUUAAUUUUUAAUGUAUAACAAAAUAAUAUAUAAUGCUCUUCCUUCAUAAAAUAACAAUUGUUAAAAGAUAAUCACGUAACCCAUUUUUAAUUAUGUUAAUAUUAAACUUUAAAUAUUUUUUUUAUCUUGAAAGGUACAUUUAAUUUUUUACUAGAUUAUACCAUUGAAAAAGAUUGAUGUAAAAAAUAAAUGAGGCUUUGGUUGAAAUGUUAUCUUAGAUUUAAAUUUUAUAAAAUGUAUUUUUUUAGAUUUUACAUAAAAUAUAAAAGAAAAAAAAUUUGCCCCCAUGAUAAUGUUUGUUAUUUUAUAGAAGGAAUGGAUUUUCGAUAAAUUUUCAACUGAGUUGGGACUCAAUUGAUAGGUGACAUAAACUCAGCCAACCUUUCAAAUAAUACUAGAUUUUAUCACACCCACGAUGUGGGUGAACAAAAUAUUUUAUAUCAAAAAUAUAUUUUUUAAAAUUAUUUUAAUAAAUAAUUAUAGGUGGAGCGGCAAGAGAUUUUUAUUUGCAUUGUUGGUCUUGUAUUUGAUUCCUAAAUAAUGUUUUCCAAUUGUUUUAAUUAAAAUAUUAUAUAAAAGUAUGAAAUAACAUGAAUACCUUUAAAAUAAUAUUAAUUAACCUUUAUAUUGGAUACCUACAAUCUUUGACUUUUCAAAGAUGAAUAGUGGCAGAAAGUUGGCACCGAAAGUAGAAAGUAAGAUUGGUUGGCAAGUUGGGUUAAAAGUUGGCAUGGGAUAAUUGCAAUUUUGGUCCCUAAUUGUAUAGGGACAUUGCAAGUUGAUCCUUAAACCUCAACUAUAAAUAGGCCUAACCAUCUCUUACUUUCUUCAUCCCACACUUGCCAUUCUCUACUUAAGGCAAUUGUUCUCUCUCCCUAUUUGUAAACUUUCACUUGUAUUUUUGGAGUGAAAUAUAUUUGGUAGUGCCCGAGGACGUAGGCAAAAUUUGCUGAACCUCGUUAAAAUUCUAAUGUUCUUUAUUUUUGUUCUGCAUAUUUUGCAAGUGUCAUUGUAGUGAUUUAUUGUGCUAUUAAAUUACGAUAGAGGGAUAUUCUGGCUAGGAAAGAUCUGGUAUGUAAGCGAUCCUCGUGAUCCACCUCUCUUUCCUGGGAAUUGAACUUAGUGUGAUUUUUCAGUACAAUAAUUUUACUCUUUCACACGCUUCCGCGCAACAAUUGGUACCAGAGCCAGGUUCGUACUUGGGGAAUACGACCGUUUACGGUACUAUUCACGUAUACGGCACUAUUUACGUAUAUGGUACUAUUCAUAUAUAUGGCACUAUUCACGUAUACGGUACUGUUCACGUAUACAGUAGUUGGGAUUGAGGAGAAAAAUGGCAGCAGCAUCGUCAUCAGCAAGGACUACUGUGACAAAUGCAAAAUUUGAAGUAGAGAAAUUUGACGGUACCAAUAAUUUUGGUAUGUGGCAGUGUGAGAUCCUGGAUGUCUUAUGUCAGCAAGAGCUGGAUAUAGCCCUUGAAGAAAAACCUGACAAGAUGGAUGACAAGGAGUGGGCCAAGAUCAAUAGACAGGCGUGUGGAACAAUCCGCCUAUGUUUGGCCAAAGAGCAAAAGUACUCCGUCAUGAGGGAGACAUCAGCGAAGAAGCUGUGGGAUACAUUGGAAGAAAAGUUUCUAACGAAAAGUCUUGAAAAUAGGCUUUAUAUGAAAAAGAAACUUUAUCGAUUCACGUAUGCACCCGGUAUGUCGAUGAAUGACCAUGUGAACUCAUUCAAUAAAAUUUUAGCAGACUUGCUAAAUUUGGAUGAGAAAUUUGAAGAUGAAGACAAGGCAUUAUUGUUGUUGAAUUCCCUUCCUGAUGAAUAUGAUCAUCUUACCACCACAUUGCUUCAUGGGAAGGACACGAUCACAUUUGAUGCAGUCUGUAGUGCGUUGUAUAGAUCUGAGACUCGAAAGAAAGAUAAAAGAGAUCACAGAGAUACAACUGCAGAAGUCUUAACAGUAAGAGGUCGUUCACACAACAGCAAACCUGGUAGAAGGGGUAAGUCCAAAGGGAGACCCGCCAAAGAUGAAUGUGCCUUUUGUCGUGAGAAAGGGCAUUGAAAAAAGAAUUGUCCUAAGCUACAAAAGGGCAAGGCUAUUUCUAAUGCAUGUGUAGCGGAGCAUGAUGAGGAGUCAGACUUUAGCUUGGUUGGCAUGGCAAUGGCAUGUCAAACGGAUGAGUGGAUUUUGGAUUCAGGAUGUACUUACCAUAUGUGUCCUAAUAAGGACUGGUUUUCUAGUCUUAAAGAGCUAGAAGGUGGAAUUGUUCUUAUGGGCAAUGAUAGUGCUUGUAAGACAAUGGGAGUGGGUACAGUCCAAUUGAAGAAUCACGACGGCUCAAUCCAAGUCUUGACAGAUGUUCGCUACGUACCUAGCUUGAAGAAAAAUCUCAUCUCAUUAGGGGUCCUAGAAUCUAAAGGGCUCACAAUCACUUUGAGAGAUGGAUUACUAAAGGUAGUAGCUGGGGUAUUGACGGUGAUGAAAGGCACUAGAAGAAAUAACUUGUACAAUUUAAAUGGA